CUCAUGGACUCCAGCCCUCAGCUGCUGACCCUGAUUCUGUCUCGUUGGGGACACGUGUGUCCCAUCUCCACUGGUGCCCAACAGUGAGCUGCCUUGGAGAGCAUUUCCUUGUUUCAGACAAGCUGGAGGUUGUCUUUCCCUCGUCUGAAAUGCUGGCCAGGAAUGGCUCGCCACAUCCACCUUCCUGAGACUCGUGCUCCAGGGCAGAUCUUGCCCUCAGACACUGAAGUGCUCAAGGAGGCGAGCGGAGGAUCUAGGCUGAGAACAGACAUACUAAAGAGAACCCUCGGGGCGCCUGGGUGGCUCAGUCAGUUAAGCUUCCGACUUCAGCCCGGGUCAUGAUCUCACGGCUCAUGGGUUUGAGCCCCGCUUCGGGCUCUGUGCUGACAGCUCAGAGCCUGGAUCCUGCUUCAGAUUGUGUCUCCCUUUCUCUCUACCCCUGCCCAUGUUCUCUCUCUCAAAAAAUAAAUAAACGUUAAAAAAGAGAGAGAAGAGAGCCCUCUGUAAUGAGAUCUCCAUGGUAUUUGUCCUGGGGCCCAAGGCCACACUUCUCUUUCUCUUUAUUUUUAAUCAUAGAAAAUUCAAAGCAAACACAGGAGUAGAAAGAAUUGUAAAGCGAAACCCCAGGGACCCCGUCAUCCAGCUUCAACAGGUUGUCAUCUGUCAUCAUAACUCUAGGAGCCGGGGAUAGGGAAGCACAGUAGGUUUCAGAUAACAUGUCAUGGUACCCAUAAAUAUGUCAGAGGCACAUCUUUAACAGAUAGCAUUUUCAACACGCUCACCAUGCAUUUAUCACCUAAUACCACAGUAGUUCAUAUUCGUAUUUCCCUGUUGUCUUUUUUUAUUUGUUUUUUUUUUUCAAUUUUUGAGUGGGGGUGUAGAGGGAAAGAGAGAGGGGAGACUCUUAAGCAGUUCCAUGCUCAAUUAGGAGCCCAACACAGGACUCACUCCCACGACCCUGGGAUCAUGACCUGACCCCAAAUCAAGAGUCGGAUGCUCAACUGACUGAGCCACCCAGGCGCCCCUCCCUAUUGUCUUGAAGGUCAGUUUGCUUAAACUGAGACCAAAUUGUUCCUUGAUAUGGGCAAAUAUCGUAUUCGUUUUCCAUUUAACCCACUUCCAACUCCCCAGUUCUUGUUGGGUGAGGAGCAGGAAGUUAGGUAAGAACCUUGACAGUGACUUGAGAGGUUUAGUGGAAGGCACGUGUGGGAUCUGGAUGAGCCUUCUCUUCCCUGCUCUCUGAGGGAAAGACAAGCUUACUUGUUAUGAGCCUUAAAAUUCACAGACAGUGAUCUGUUAAGUACUCAUCAAAAGCAAAUAAGCAUUAUUACAUAAAUCCCCAACAGUGUUUUGCUAUAUAUAUAAAAAAAAAAAGGUAUUAGUUAAGCUCUGUUCUCUGAUGUGAAAAGUCAACUGAAUCACUCAGAUAAUUCUUAAGAAAUGCAUUCAAUGUUUAAUGGCCUUGUUCUUAAAAGAGAUACCCUCCCCCACCCAGUCAAACCACUCUUUUGAGUUUAGAAGGGUUAUUUAACAAAAACAAAAUCCACUGUUCUUCCUUCCCUCAGUCAUUAGAAGAUGGUCUUUAGCUCUUGGUUAGUUUUCAUUCUUUUCCCUGGAAGAGGUUCCCCUUAGAAAGGAAGGGAGAGUAAAUCGAAGAGUGCAGGGCGUUAACAGGGAUCUAGUGGAGGGUAGAAUGCUAAAUUGUAACUUCCCGCUGGGCAGAAGAUUUUGCUAUAUUUUAUUUAUUAGGUUGACUCCUUUGUUGAUACAAAUCCCAUGAGAUGUUGUAAUCUCUUAGCUAUGCUUUGGAGGAAGGUUUUAGUCUCCUUCUGCUACUGUAACACGUUGGUCAAACUCGGUGGCUUAAAACAACACACAUUUAUCACAGUAUGGUUCUAGAGAUCAGAAAUCUAAAAUGAAUUUUACAGCACUAAAAUCAAGCUGUUGGCAGGCCUGGUACUUUCUAGAAGCUCUAGCCGAAAAUGCGUUCCUUGCCUCUCCCAGCUCCUAGACUCCGCCCACAUUCCCUGGCUCGUGGUCCCUUCCUCACAUCACUCAGACCACUUGCUUCUGCAUCACAUCUCCUGCUACCCGCCCUGGUCUCCUGCCUUCCUACUAUCAGGAUCCUUGUGAUCAUGUUGGGCACCCGCAGGUCAUUAGGAUGAUCUCUCCAUCUCAAAAUCUUUCAUUUAAACACAUCUGCAAAGUCUCUUUUUUGCCAUAUAUAGUAACAUUUACAGGUUCAGGGGAUCAGGAUUUGGGCAUUGCUUAAGGGAAGGAACGAGCUGUUGAAAAUCCAGGCCUUAUAAACCACCCCAGAACUCUCUCUUCUUUUAGUCUUCUUGGGGGUGGCCAGUUGACAGUCACAUACACCGUACUCUGGGAAAUCCAAAGCUGGUCAUUUGUUGAAGGGUAGAAAUUUGUGGUCCCCGAAGCAGAUAAUAUGCAUUUUCUCCCUUGUGAAUCAAAAUUGUUCAAAACUGUGAGUAUCCAUAGACAACUAUUGAGAUAUCAUCAUCAAAUAGCUUCAGUCUUGGACUUCUGUGGUUUCUGUGGGGUUGUGCAAACAUUAGGUACAUUUGCCAUCCCUCUCAAAUCAGGGCAGGGUCUAGGACUGCUUUGACCGUGUCCAGGCCUUAGGAGUCAGACAGCUUUCACUUCCUGUCUCCCAGAACACUGGAUCUGGAGGCCUAAUCUUCCACGUAAGAAGUCCAACAACCUUGCUGGGGAGAUUGCAUGGAGAGGUCUGGAGGUUGCUGGGAGAGGAAGAAAGCCACAGCCUCCCAGCUAUCCCUGCCAGGGCACCAUUUAUGUGAGCAAGCUGUCGUGGAUCUUCCAGACCAGCUCACUCCGGCUGAAUACCACCGAAUGACUCAGUCUACACCACAGGCAGAAGAACCACCUUAUCAAGUCCUCUCUGAAUUCCUGAUCUACAAAAUUGUGACAUACAAGAAAGCGGUUGUAGUGUUAAACCUCUAGGUUUAAGACUGUUCUGCAACAAUUCGAUGACCAGACAGAAUUUGGUGGCCACUACUCACACACGGUGUGCUAGUCACUCUCUAGAGGGGCUAAGGGUAGAAACGGAGGGGGCAGCCAUCCCCAAAUCCCAAUCCACAGUAUCAUCAGAGAGUGUAGAUUUGGACCUUUCCUGUCUACGUAGUGAGAAACUGAUGGAUUGACUCAUCUCCAAAGUGAGGAUCAUGGCAACAAAGAGUCAGAGUUUUUUUGGAGUGACAAAUGGAAUAAGAAGAGUUUUGUAAUCUGAGAAGGCCUAUCCGGAUGUCGUACUUAGUAGUGGUAGUUAUAGUAACGGUGUUAUAGGAGAAUUAAAUGGAGAAUAGUCAUUCUCUGCUUGUUUAAUAUUGUCUCCAAGGGUGGGUGUUGAUAACAGGUUUCGAGCAAUAUGAUUUUGCAUCAUAACUCAUUUUCACUGUUGAGAAGGAAGAAAAGGACAAGGAAGAGGAAAACAAGUUAUUAUUUUUUUCCUCCCAGAGAGUUUGGGACCUAGAGUGUUACUUGCUAAUGUAUUACGUAAUUGUAGAUUAUGUAAUUUGUGGACACAUGUAUUCUCUUCCUGUCCUGAGCUGACCCUCCCCUCUCUUGCUUUCUUUGAUCCCCAUGCAAUUUUCUGUGUAUCCUGCCACUACAAUAGAAUGAAAAUGUAUUUUUUAGACCUCAGCUGAGCCUGUGACUGCCUAUUUAAAACCAAUUGCCCUUCAGAAAGUUUGAUCAAGCCUCGUACAAACAAUGAUUAAAGAGCUGGAGCGGAAUAAGUCUGCCUCUCCAGGGAAGACAGUUCAUGCAAUCAAGGCAUGAACUUGAGCCCAGAAAAGAGCCAGCACAUGUAGUGCCUUUGCAGACAUUUCAAGUUUAGUCUGUCCAUACUGAGGUCUGCAAAAGAUUAGAAGCUGGAAUUCUAGGCCUGUCAGGAACCAGACCCACACAGCCUCUGGGACCAGAGGCCUUUGGUCACAAGAUACGGGAGUCUCUUCUCAAGCAACUGAGACAGAACAUGCAAACACGUAUUUCUGUCUUGUAGAGUAAGAUUCCUGGGCCGGAUGUCCAUUUUCAAUUUUAAAAACUGGUUUAGAAUUCUCCCUGUGUUCUUAGCCAUAAGAAAGGCUUUGCUCACUGUUGACUAGCCUACCCUGAUGGAAAACAAACAGAAUGUUAGGUUUUGAAAACAAUACAAAUCAGACUUCCCUGCCGGACCACCCUGUUUAAGGACAGCAGGAGAGAUCCAGGUGGCUUUUCUGUGCUUGAGGUUUUCACCUUUUCACUGUGAGAGUUGCUCUGAGUACGGUUAGCACAGCUCUUGUGAGGUCAGGGUGCCAUCUUCCAAAGACAGGACCCCUUAUUUUGAAAGAAACCGGCUGCAUCCUAGGCCAGAUAUUGGAAGUCAGAGACCAGAGGGCAUCCCACGGCCUGGAGCAAAGGGGAAAUUGCCAAUACUGUGUUUCCCGGUGGUGAGCUGUGUUUGUUCAGGCGGAGAAAGGAAUGAAAGUGUUCCUUUCUCCCGAUAAGGUGAAAUUUCUCCCGACCAAAUUCCCUGACACCCAGUGAUUAUACCUCUGAAGCGGCCAAGCCCACAGCACACAGGAAGCAACAGUGACGUGCCCUGGAGAAGACACAGGUGCUACUGAACGGAGACGGUGAGGGCGGAAGGAGGGGGUGGAAGCUCACCCCGGGGAUCCAGCUGGGGACGCAGGGCUGCACACGGGCCAAAAGGAAGGGAUUUGGGAUGGGCACACUUGACUUUGCCAUUGGUGUGUGCCUUUGGCGAGUCCUCUGACGACUCUAAAUUACAUUCCUCAUUGGGAGAAUGGGGAUGUCGUCUAUUUCAUGGAUUCUGGGUGAGAGUGCCUGUUGCAGGUCAUGUUCACGGCACAGGACGAGGGAAGAGUGGGGCUGCUGAAACACAAGAAACCGGUGAGACUGAAGUCAUCGAUACAAGUCAUUCCCAGCUUGGGGGCAAGGACGGGGCUUCUGUGCAAGGCUUAGGGCCUCAGUCGGGAUUGCUCUGGGAUCCAAGGAGCUGGUGGUGAGUGGUCCUGAGUCUCUGCGGGGUCAUUAACCUCUUCAGCUGUGCCACGAGGCAGGCAGGGCCUGGGACUCCAGGCCAUAACAGAGCUGACACCCACGGCAGGCUGUGCAUACUCUCCGUUCUUUUUAUUUUAAAAAAUUGUUUUAAUGUUUAUUUAUUUUUGAAAGAGAGACAGAGUACGAGAUGGGGAGGGGCAGAGAGAGAGAGGGAGACAACAGAAUCUGAAGCAGGCUCCAGGCUCUGAGUUGUCAGCACAGAGCCCGACACAGGGUUUGAACCCAUGAACCACAAGAUCACGACCUAGGAGGAAGUUGGAUGCUUAACUGACUGAGCCACCCAGGGGCCUCCAUACCCUCAGUUCUUAAUGAAGGCUUGUAGCAACCCAACUCGUCUCAAUUCCAGGUUAUGCCGCUUUCCCAAUCUUCAGGUACCCAUCUGGCAAGCUUUCUUUUUUUUUUUUUUAAUUUAAUUUUUUAAAUUUACAUCCAGGUUAGUUAGCGUAUAGUGCAAUAAUGAUUUUUGGAGUAGAAGCCAGUGAUUCAUCCCCCACAUAUAACACCUAGGGCUCAUCCCAACAAGUGUCCUCCUUAAUGCCCCUUACCCAUUUAGCCCAACCCCUCCAGCAACCCUUCCAUCAACCCUCAGUUUGUUCUCUGCAUUUAAGAGUCUCUUUAUGUUUUGCCCCUCUCCCUGUUUUUAUAUUAUUUUGCUUCCCUUCCCUUAUUUUCAUCUGUUUUGUAUCUUCAAUUCCACAUAUGAAUGAAGUCAUAUGAUAUUUGUCUUUCUCUGACUAAUUUCGCUUAGCAUGAUACCCUCCAUGUUGUCGCAAAUGGCAAGACUGCAUUCUUUUUGACUGCCAAGUAAUAGUCCAUUGUAUAUAUAUAUCACGUUUUCUUUAUCCUUUCAUCUGUCGAUGGACAUUUGGGGUCUUUCCAUAAUUUGGCUAUUGUCAAUAGUGCUGCUACAAACAUUGGGGUGCAGGUGCCCCUUCGAAACAGCAUACCUGUCUGUAUCCCUUGGAUAAAUACUUAGUAGUGCAAUUGCUGGGUCCUAGGGUAGUUCUAUUUUUAACUGUUUGAGGAACCUCCAUACUGUUUUCCAGAGUGGCUGCACCAGUUUGCAUUCCCACCAGCAAUCCAUCUGGCAAGGUUUCACCCAUGAAGACUCACCCACUCUGAUGAAAGUUGGACUUUAAAUGAAUAUUUGGAAAGGGAUUAGGUGGCAGGUCUUCAUUUCCCAUUCCUUUUUUGCAGCUGGUAUUCCAAGUCACCAGUCACCAAAAUAAACCUGCUUUUUUACUUUAAGCCAAAGAUUUCUGUUGAUAGACUGAUGGUGUACAAAUGGUGACCUUUCCGGAUUUGCAGAAUUCUUUGAAUACAUUAUUUAUUAGCUCACAGGUGCUGCAUAGAGUUGUAAGAUAGAUGUCGAGAAGGCCAAAGAAGAAAAUGCUAAAGGAAAUUCUAUUUGUGAUAGGAGCUUCACAGGAUUUCUAAAUAUGUUGUGAAACCUAUAUUUCAGCGUCUGCCUCCGCAAUGGCCACGGAUGUUAGGGUAAACAAGUAAACAACUUGGCUUCACUUUUAUCGUUUUGGGGAAGUCUAGCUUAUUCAGGGGGAAAAAGGGCCAAUAGCAAGAAAUAGUAUCUUUGCAAUAAUGCCUUUUCCAAAUGUUUUGCAUUUGCUCAUCCAUGAGAUAAUCGUGACAACCCUGUGAUGGAGCAGGAGUUAGGUAUGGUGUCAACAUCGACACCUGUGGGAACAAAGUCAGAGAGCUGUCUCUCUAGGGCCCUGGCAGAGGUCACAAUGAUAGUGACAGAGAAGGGUUGGAGCCAAGGUUCCUGUCGGCCUAUCUCUUACUGGUGAAAGUUUUAAAAAUGUUCUUUCUUUUAUUAUGAAAGUAAUACAGGGGCGCCUGGGUGGCUCAGUCUGUUGGGCGUCCGACUUCAGCUCAGGUCAGGAUCUCACGGCUGAUGGGUUCGAGCCCCGCAUCGGGCUCUGUGCUGACAGCUCAGAGCCUGGAGCCGGCUUUGGAUUCUGUGUCUCCCUCUCUCUCUGCCCCUCCCCUGCUCGCACUCUGUCUCUCUCUCUCUCUCUCUCUCAAAAUAAAUAAACAUUAAAAAAAAUAAUAAAAUAAAAGUAAUACGUACUCAUGAAAAAAAUUAGAAAAUAGAGAAAAUUAGAGAACAAAAAUUACUCCUAAUUCUACCACUCAAACACCAUUAUUGUUAACAUCUUUGAUCCAGAAGAUAAAGGACUUCUUUGUGCUCCCCUCUACACGCUCAGGUAUGCAGUGAAUACCUGCUCUUAGCAAUCUUACACUAAUUGAACUGUCAUACAGAUCCUUGCUUGGCAUUCAGAGAGACAAGUGGCUGUCCACUCAGUAUGAGCUGAGCGGCACCAAAAGAGAGCCAGUUGUGCCCACUCCCUUCUUCUGGGACCAUUAUUAAGUCACUUCUUAGGCUAAGUAAUCAUGUCUCCAGAAAGCAGGUCCCUAUUAGUUGUAGUUAGGUCUUAUGAGAUGAGUAACCCAUUAGCAUCCGUGAACAGAGACCGGUUUCUCAGAUUAACUGGCUCAGAACAAGACUCUGAUGGAAGGGAAGGAUGGGUAAUUGUUUGUUUUUUUUAACAAAUUAAAUGCAUUAUUUACUUGUUUAUUUUAUUUUUAUUUAUUUUUAUUUUUUAAAUUUACAUCCAAGUUAGUUAGCAUAUAGUGCAACAAUGACUUCAGGAGUAGAUUCCUUAGGGCCCCUUCCCCAUUUAGCCCAUCCCCCUUCCCACAACCCCUCCAGAAACCCUCUGUUUGUUCCAUAUUUAAGAGUCUCUUGGGGCGCCUGGGUGGCGCAGUCGGUUAAGCGUCCGACUUCAGCCAGGUCACGAUCUCGCGGUCUGGGAGUUCGAGCCCCGCGUCGGGCUCUGGGCUGAUGGCUCAGAGCCUGGAGCCUGUUUCCGAUUCUGUGUCUCCCUCUCUCUCUGCCCCUCCCCCGUUCAUGCUCUGUCUCUCUCUGUCCCAAAAAUAAAUAAAUGUUGAAAAAAAAAUUAAAAAAAAAAAAAAGAGUCUCUUAUGUUUUGUCCCCCUCCCUGUUUUUAUAUUGUUUUUGCUUCCAUUCCCUUGUGUUCAUCUGUUCUGUGUCUUAAAGUCCUCAUAUGAGUGAAGUCAUAGGAUUUUUGUCUUCCUCUGACUAAUUUCACUUAGCACGAUACCCUCUAGUUCCAUCCAUGUAGUUGCAAAUGGCAAGAUUUCAUUCUUUUUGAUUGCCGAGUGAUACUCCAUUAUACAUAUACCAUAUCCUCUUUAUCCAUUCUUCUGUCAAUGGACAUUUGGGCUCUUUCCAUCCUUUGGCUAUUGUUGAUAGCGCUGCUAUAAACAUGGGGGUGCAUGUGCCCCUUUGAAACAGCACACCUGUAGGAUGGGUAAUUGUUAAAACUAGCGUGAGGAGUGUUUUCAAAGCUAUAACAGGGGCGGGUGGUCUCUCUGGUCGAUGACACCUGACAUUCUACUGCUGCUGUCAUCAUCAUAUGACAGGACAGAUGGUUUUCCAAAGAUGGAGAUAUCUAUCUCAUACAACAUGUCCUUCUUACAGUGCGACUGACACCCAGUCACUGAGAGGUAGAGUCUGUUUUCCUUUCCCUUGAGUCUAGGCACGAGCCUGUGACUGUGCUGACUACUGGGGAAUGGCGGAAGUGAAACUGUGUGACUUAGGCUGCUAGAUCCCAAGAAGGGUAAAGCUUCCACUUGGUGCUUGCAUUUCUCUCUCUUCUUCCCUUCCCCGCCAUCUUCUCAAUGUUCACUUCUGGAAUCCAGCCACCAUGCAGUGAGGAAGCCAAGACUAGUCCAAGUAGAGGGAUCACAUGGAGAGGAACUGAGACCUUCGGCCAACAGGCAGCACCGACCACCAGACACGCAAGUGAACGAGCCUUCAGAGGAUCCCAGCUCUCAGCCUUCAAGGCUUCCAGCUGAGGCCCAGCACUGUGGAGCAGACACAACAAGUUAUCUCCAUUCUGCCUUGGCUGGAUUUCUGGCCCACAGAAUCCAUAAGCGUGAUGGGUAGCUGUUUAUGCCACCGAAUUGAGGGGGUAACUGUUACAUAGCCAUAGUACUGGCACAUGCAUCUAAAUGAAGAAAGACACCUACCCAAGAAAUCAGAUGCUCGCUUUGGGGAAACGUAUCAGUAGCUUCUGACCCUCAUGCUAUAAACCCUGCAAUCUAAGAGCGAAGACAAAUGCCCCGCCCAAGUUCACCUUCCUUGCAUCUUUACUUGACUAAUUCUCCACUUCACCCCUUCCCCAGGUCAGAGGUGCUCUAGCCAAGGUUAUCUGGGGACCAUAUGGUUCCUGUAGAAUCCACCCUUUAUCUCUCUUCUUCUAGUGUCUCCUCAGUGUGGAGGAUGGUAGAAAUUUGGAGGAAUGGGACACAUAGGCUUGUACGAGGGGCAGCAGGUCAGAGGUUAAGAUGUAUAGUCUUUAGACACAUGCUCCCAAGAGUGUGUGGUCGCUGUCAUGUCCAAUAUUUGUAACCCAGCCCAAAGUAGUGCAUGUUCAAGAUUUUUUUAAAAAUCCAAGUCAUGCAGAGAGUGAGAAGUAAACGUUUUCCUAUCCCCUCUUCCCACGCCAGCAGUGGGCACAAUUAGCCCUGGGUGGGACAGUGCUAGCACUGGGAACCAUACCCCCUCGCUUCGAAUCCCUGCUUUGUGAGGGGACUAGCUACGUGACUUGGGCCCCAGUUCCCUCAUGUGUACAAUGGGGACAACUUAUCCCCUAAGUCGUGAGUUGCUGCGAGAGUUACACGAGCUAAUAGAAGUAAAGCACUUAGGACAGGGUCUGACGCACACAGUCCUACUCGGGAUUAAUCAUUCCUACCAUUACUGCUGCUGUUAGUAUUAUCAUCAUUCCUCGUAGGGUUUUCUGUGGCCUUAAUGGGUUCAGGAGAUGGAAGGUAUUGGGAGGAACCUAGAGUUAGGGAGAAGGACUCCCAGACCAUAGGGUGGCCGUUGUGGAAUGUAGUAAACACCCUCCACGUCUCCUCACUGCAGCCCCUUCAAGGCUGACUAAGCCCUGGACGCCUCUGCCAGGUGUCUCUAACCACACUUUCUAGUUGAUGGUAGAGUAAGAGGCUAAAAUGUUGCUACAGGAAAGGAGGGAGGCCCAAGCUGGCCCAAUCCUGACAGUUUGUGAAUCCUGCGAGGUUGUGAGAUGAAAAUGUAUUCACCUGGCCCUUUUAAGCAAGGACUCCCUCCAGCUUUCAUCUUUGGAAUUCUGUGAGGUUGUCACACAUCUGGUGCCUCCUGCCCCUACCCACAUGGUUGUUGGAGGUGAGUGUUGCACGUGUAGGCAUUUGGUAAAUGUCGCCAAAUGAAUGUGCCUGUGAUCUGUUCCCAAGUACCUGGCAGAGAGGGCAGAGUCUUCGGUUUUCUCCAUGUAAGAGGCCUCAAGGGGCAGUCAGCCUGGGCCCACUGAUAGAUAAGUAAUCUCAUCUCUUGAGUGGAGUAUGGUUCGGGACCCAGAAAUUUUCUUUUCUGUAUCAGUUUGGAUGCUUUUGGUAGCAAACAAUAGAAAAACCUGACCAAAAGUAGCUUCAAUAUGAAGAAAAACUAACUAUUUCACCUGACCAGAAGCAGAGGGAGGGAGGCCCUGGGUUGCUAGCUCUGGGACUGACAAGGGCAUCAGGAACUCAGGAGAUUUUUCACCAAGGAAAACUUUCCCAUGGUGCAUCCCCUUCCCUCUGAUUUUAUCUUACAUCUCAUUGGUCAGAGGUAUGUCACAUGACUAUGCCCAACCCAGUCAUUGGCAAGAGGAGUGGAGUUACUAUGAUUGUCUUAGACUAAUUGGCAUUCAUCUGAAGACCUGUCCAAGCGGGCAGGCGUGGGGAAACGGGGCAGAAAGGCGUGCUGCAGAUAAGUAGUGGAUGACUUCUCUUUCUUAUUCCAAAAAGCUCUCUUCAGUGGCACACGCAAUUUAACAAGAUAAUCUUCAACAGGAUUAAGUGAUGAGGAUGGAGAAAAAAGAAACGGAAACAAGGAUACAGAAGGUGAAGCCUGAAAUACUAUCGAGUAAAAAAAUGCAUGCCAUAACAUCCUCUAGGCUUGCUAAGUGUAGGCCAUGCAUGUGGGUUCAGUAGUCAAUGCCAGGAGGGUUUGCCUAAAGUUGCAAAUGGCGGCUUGUGGGCCAAAUGUGGCCCACUGAUAUGUUGUUUGGGUCCUUCCAGUACUAUUUGUUUAUGUUUCAGUUGGUUGGCCGCCAACCUUAAAAAAUUGAGACAUUUCCUAUUGUUGGAAAGCAUUUCUGGCUUCUCUUUAAAAAAAAAACAAUCAGAAGAUAUGGAAGGUACAACAAUACUGGGCCUGCCUUCCCAGAUGGCAGCAUCAGCUGGAGCUGACAGCUCCCCUGUGAAGGACACACGUGCUCUCAGUUCUCACGUGGCCCACCUAGCCCACGCUCCUCGUGGGAAAUGCCCCAUGGGCCUUCAAGUGCGCGAGCCCAGAGUUAGUUGACAGGGUCCCUAGGAUAGUAGCCAACCAGUUCCUCAGGAGAAUGUGGGUAUCCCAACCCUAAGCCUGGACCUCACACAGGGACCAUUGGGAUGGGAUGAGCUCCCCCACCUCACCUCACUGCAGAGCCCUGGAAAACUCUCACAGACUGUUUCUUAUUAAGGCUUUCUACCCAAACCAGGGGGCAAAGAUGGGGGUGGGGGGCACACGGACAGAUAAGGAGAGGGGCAUGGACGCGUUCCACCACGUAGGGAUAACUUUCCAAAAGAAAGCUUCCAAAGGUGCUUCCAGUUUGAAGAGGGCUGGACUGAGGGCAGAAGAAGAAUCUGUCUCAACAGUUUUGAGAUUAAAGGGAAUAGGAAGAGGUUUGGCAUGAAGACUGGAUUUGGAGAAUGAUUCUCACUGUAGAACAGUUUUACAAUCUGUCUCUAUUUGGAACCUCUGAUAGUUCCCUCCAGAGUUGAAGAGGCCUUAGAUUCUAAGGCAAGAAUUUUUCAGUCAUGUUACUGCAAACGUGAAACUCUUUCUCCAGAAACAGGUAAAGAGGUCCCCAAGCAGAUGCGCACACAGAUGGGGCUUAUCUGAUUUCCUGUCCAUCCAUGCCCACACACUGCAGGCUCUCUGGAAAGGUUAGAUAAUGACAGUGACUCAAGAAGCCAAGAAUGUGAAUUAUGUGACAUGCAGCCCGGAUCUGGCCCAUAUAUGGUUAUUGUUCAACCCACCAGAGCAGCCUGGAAAUGAGCUGCCAUCUUGCUUUUUUUUUUUUUUUAAGUUUAUUUAUUUUUGAGACAGAGGGAGACAGAGCAUGAACGGGGGAGGGGCAGAGAGAGAGGGAGACACAGAAUCGGAAGCAGGCUCCAGGCUCUGAGCCAUCAGCCCAGAGCCCGAUACAGGGCUCGAACUCACGGACCGCGAGAUCGUGACCUGAGCUGAAGUCGGACGCUCAACUGACUGAGCCACCCAGGCGCCCCCAUCUUGCUUUUGAAAAGGGGGAGUUUUGCAACACAUUUGUGUCUGUGUAAUAAACAGUUUGUUGGAGAGAGAGGCAGAGAGAUAGAGACAGACAAGAGAGAUUACACCGAACCAAAAACCUGCUUUUGACUCCCUGCAGCAUGCGCGCACUGCGUCACCACUUACCCCCAAUCUGUGCUACCUGGUCUCCAUCAGAAUGGUAAAGGCCUGCAGUGGAACCAGAGCAGGAAACCAGAGCUAGGAUGUUAGCUAAAGCAACUGGAAAUCCAUUAUAGCAUUAUAUGCUUCACUGAGCUCUUUAACCACAGAGAAACAAGCACAGGAUCUACCGCCAUGAUGUGACAAGUGGGGACAGCUGCUGUCCACCUAGACCUCUAGGGCAGGGAGACCAGGGCCUGAACUGCUGCUGGGAUCUAGCGGGUCAAGGAGAGGAAAGAACAGAGACACUCAGAAGAGCUUAAGUGGAUGUGGCCACCCUCGUGUUAACAAGAUUUUGCCAGGAUUGAGCCCCUUGAGGAAGAGGAAAAGCUCACAUCGUGUGGAAAUAGCAGACGACCAGAGACCUGGGGCUGUGGAGAGAGACAGCUUGGCUUUGAAACAUGGCUUUGCCCUGUAUGAUCUUGUACCACCCAUUUAGCUACCCUUUGCCUCGGUUUCCCUACCUUUGAAAUGGGUAUGAGACUAGCCCCUUAGAGGAACAAUGAAGAAUUGUUAUGAAGACAAAAUGAGACUAUAUAGGUAAAUCUGGACCCAGGGCUGGACACAAAGUACUCAUAUAAUGUUGGUUUAUUCCUAGCCCCCUCCCAAAAAAUAUGACUGAAAUUGCCAUAUAAAAUACAAAAUUUAUCCCUGACUACAAUCAGAAAAAACCAAGAAGUCAAAUGAGGGAAUACCCUUGACGUAGCUUGAUAGACUGCAACUCAAAUUUCAGAGUUCACUAAUGCGAUUUCAAAGAGGCCUAGCAUUUUUCAGCAGAGGAGGGAAAAAUCAAGUUAGAAAGUGUUCAUUCCACUUCCACCAUGUGCCUAUCACUACAGGGGGCAAAGGGUAGAAUAAUAAUUACAUAAUUAGUACCGAUUUGCAUACAAAGUACUGCCUACAAAUGAUCUGUGUUCUACGCUAUCCUUCAAGCUAGAGAUCAUCCCUACUUUAAAAAUGAGGAAAUGGAGACACAGAGAGAUUAGGCAACUUGGCUAAGGUCACACGAUCUGGGAUUGGAACUCGGGUCUGUGGGCUGCCACUGGUGAAGGUGAUGUUAAUUACCGAGUGCCUUCUGGAUGCCAGGCAAUGUGCCGACCUCUCCUUCCAUUGCUUCGUUUACUCUUUUCACACCGCUGCAGUGGGGCAGGUAUUAGGGACAACUAUUAUGCCCAUUGUACAGAUGGGGAAAGAUUAAGUGAUGAAGGGUCACAGUCACAUAGAGGAAGUGUCAGGUGUCUGCCCUAGGUCAUGGUGGCCCAAAGCCCGAGCACUUACCUGUCGCCAUACUGCAUCCUCUGUCUCAACAACAGCAAGAGGCACAACCGGUCACAACACAAAACUCUGCAUAAUUACAAGGGCCCUUGGUUUGUGUGAACAGCCUGACUUUGGGAAGAGAUUUUAAUUUUUUUCUCAGCACUACAAAUGGUUAUUAGCAAACACUCUCUCCUAGGAAGAUGUAUUCAACGUGCCUGCCAAGGAGGUUGUUCUCAACCUCUCAUGGUAACCUAAUAAACCCAAGGUCAUGGGAAACCUCGUCUCUAAGAACAUGUGGCUGAAAGAACAAGACGUACUAAAGUAGCUUGGAUGUAGCUUGAACUUUACCGAGAGAACACUUGAGUGAUUUUAUAUGAACUAAUUACAAGACCUAAGAGCAUCCUGAGGGGUGCCAGCCUUAUUUAUAAUUAACGCAGGUAAGUCUAUGAUUUGUGAGUCCUAUCUUUUAUGGACGGCAUCAGUGAAUCAUCCUCCAACUACACAACUUUUUUCCACAGACCCAGGGGAAAGGGAAUUGUCAAAAACCGGGGUUUUCACCCCACCUCUUCCACACCCCUUCUUCUUAUCAAUCCCCAACCCUUGUUUUUUAAGAAAUCAAAACAUGGGGCGCCUGGGUGGCGCAGUCGGUUAAGCGUCCGACUUCAGCCAGGUCACGAUCUCGCGGUCCGUGAGUUCGAGCCCCGCGUCGGGCUCUGGGCUGAUGGCUCAGAGCCUGGAGCCUGCUUCCGAUUCUGUGUCUCCCUCUCUCUCUGCCCCUCCCCCGUUCAUGCUCUGUCUCUCUCUGUCCCAAAAAUAAAAUAAACGUUGAAAAAAAAAUUAAAAAAAAAAAAAGUUUAAAAAAAAAAAAAGAAAUCAAAACACUUUUUACUUCUAUAAAGAGAAAGGUAUGAUUGACCCCUAAUGUGUGCUAUCCGAUAUGAUAGUCACAAGCUACAUGUGGCUAGUAAAGUAUAAGUUAGUUAAAACUGAGUAAACUUGGGGCGCCUGGGUGGCUCAGUCGGUUGCGCGUCUGACUUCGGCUCAGGUCACGAUCUCACGGUCCGUGAGUUCGAGCCCCGCGUAGGGCUCUGGGCUGAUGGCUCAGAGCCUGGAGCCUGCUUCCGAUUCUGUGUCUCCCUCUCUCUCUGCCCCUCCCCCGUUCAUGCUCUGUCUCUGUCUCAAAAAUAAAUAAACGUUAAAAAAAAAUUAAAAAAAAAAUUGAGUAAACUUGAAAAUUCAGUCUAUCAGUCACACUAGCCACAUUUCAAAUGCUUCAUAGCCAUCCGUGGCCAGUGACUCUCACUAUGGACAGCAAAGAUCUCUAGAACAUUCCCAUCGCGCAGGAAGCUCUAUUGAAUAGUCCUGAUCUACAAGCUCCAAUGUGAGGCGUAGGGCUUCUCCUCGGGUGGCUGUUUUUGCUUGGGCUUCCCCGGAAGCAGACUGGGGGGCAAGUAGUUUAUCUGAGAGGUACAGGGAGCGCCGGCAGGGAAGCGACCCAGAGAGAGGGGCAGGCAGCGAAUCACCUGCUUAAAUGUGUGGCGAAACUGAGAGAUGGUGUAAAAUAACACAUCUCCAAAUUAUCCUUUCCAAAGAGAGGGGGCUGGGGUAUUUGUACACCACUCCAGAGAACUGCUUCCAAGGCUCAGAGUUUCCUAACGCUUUUUUUUUUUUUAGGAAAAAUUCCAUAAUGUUUGUUUAUUUUUGAGAGACAGAGAGAGCCAAAGCGUGAGUGGGGGAGGGGCAGACAGAGAAGGAGGCACAGAAUCUGAAACAGGCUCCAGGCUCUGAGCUGUCAGCACAGAGCCCAACAUGGGGCUUGAACUCACAAACUGUGAGAUCAUAACUUGAGCUGAAGUCGCACGUUUAACUGACUGAACCACCCAGAAGCCCCGUUUCCUAGCACUUCUGAUCUACGUGCAGGUGGGCAGAGAUUUCGGAGGUUGGGCAGGGGUGGGAGGUGAAGCCCCUAAGUUCAGAGGCAGAGACUUGCAGUGGAUGUUAACAAGAGCCCCCAAAUUCUGAGAGAUAUGGAUGUGGCAUAACACUGACUGCUAUACGAAUGCUUAAGGGUCACACCCUUCCCAGAAUUUUGCCUAGAACAUUACGUCCGUGACACUUCCCUAAUGUUGGCACUGAAAGUCUCACAUCCUGGGGAAUUCCUCAGUCCCAGGAAAACUGGGACAGUUGGUGCCUUAGUCCAUUCAGGCUGCUCUAACAAAAUACCACAGCCUGGGUGGCUUGUACACAACAGAAACUUCUCAUAAUUUUAUUUUUAUUUUUUUAAUUUUUUUAAAUGUAUUUUGUUUUUUAAAUUUUUUUUUUAAUGUUUAUUUAUUUGAGAGACAGAGAGAGAGCACAAGCAGGGUCAGGGCAGAGCGAGAGGGAGGCAGAAUCUGAAACAGGCUCCAGGCUCUGAGCUGUCAGCGCAGAGCCCGACGCGGGGCUUGAACUCACGAACCUUGAGAUCAUGACCUGAGCCGAAGCCGGAGGCUCAACCGACUGAGCCACCCAGGCGCCCCAAACUUCUCAUAAUUUUAGAAGCUGAAAGCCCAAGACCAGGGUGGCAGCAUGGGCAGGUGAGGGCUCUCUUCCAGGUCACAGACUUCUUGUAUCCUCACAUGGCACAAGGGGGCUUUGGGAGCUCUCUCCUCGGGUCUCUUAUAUAAGAACACUAGUUGCAUUCGUGAGGGUGCUAGUCUUAUGGUCUAAGUACCUCCCAAAGGCCCCACCUCCAAAUACCAUCUCAUUGCAGAUUAGGAUUUCAACAUAUCAAUUUGGGGGUAACACAACCUAUCAGACCAUAGCACUUGGUCACCCCAAAUUUAGCAGACGCGGUUGAAUGGUGGCGGGGUGUUCAGGAAGAGGGGGGAAUCAAGAAUGAACGACCCAUUACAGAUUGGAUUAAUCGUGGGGGCUGCCAGCACCUGUGAAAAGGAACAAAGGGGAAGCUGGUUUUUUUUUUUUUAAUUUUUUUUUUUAACUUUUAUUUAUUUUUGAGACAGAGAGAGACAGAGCAUGAACGGGGGAGGGUCAGAGAGAGAGGGAGACACAGAAUCCGAAACAGGCCCCGGGCUCUGAGCAGUCAGCACAGAGCCCGACGCGGGGCUCGAACUCACAGACUGUGAGAUCAUGACCCGAGCUGAAGUCGGACGCUCAACCGACUGAGCCACCCAGGUGCCCCAGCUGGUUUUGAAGAUACGAUGGUGCCAUCAGUUUGGGACAGAUGGCAUGGGAGGUGUCUUUGGGACAUAUAGGUAGAGGAAACUGGGCGUGGUGAACGUCACCCUGGGAAAGAAAUAGCUCGAUCUGCUAUGGCCAGGAAUCCUUCCUGAUGAGCACUUUGCUUUCCUUUGAUCCCAAACCACAUAUUUGUCUAGAAUACCAAUUUAAAACUUUGUGACCGUCGCCUGAAGUGGUUAUGAAGGCCACUCUGGCACUCAGAAAGCAGUAUGCCAUGAAUGUCUAGGAUUUGUUCCUCGAUGCAGCCGUCUGUCACCUAGCAGGGGACAGGCAGGGAUCUGAGCUCAGGGAAGGUCUGAUGGCCACUGUCAGUAAAGUUGCAAACACAAGUGUCCUUGCAUGAGGGAACCACACCAGGUGGUGGGAGGUUGUACCCAUGGCCAAAGGGUGGGAUGGGAGCGGAUACCUGGGAGGUGGGAGGAAGGCUCUACGAGCAGGAAGGGCUUGGAGAAAAAGAAUGAAAAUCGUUUGGUACCAAGCUUGGCAGGUAAAUGAGAGGCCUUAACACUCAAGCCCCCCCUUCACUGAUGUGCCCAAGACAGACUCUGGUGGCUCUGGUUAACCUCCCCUCUCCCCCCACCUCCCACCCCCUUUACUUUGAUGCAUCUUCUCCACGGUACCUGCUCCCGUUUUCUAACAACUCUGACAUUCUUUGUUUGGCUUUCUGGGCACCCUUAAACCAGCCAGGGCAAUACACUCAUUGUCGUUAACACAGUAGAUCACCUUCUACCACUUCACACUCACUACCUUGCUUGAUCCCCACAGUCACCUGGCAGAUGAGGACUUUCACUGCCAUCUUCGUUUUUACGAAAGACGAAAUUGAAGCACAGCGAGAUUUAGGCAACUCGCCAGAGCCACUCAGCUGGCAAGUGGUAGAGCUGGUGUGUGACCAACGUGAUGUCAGUGACUAGGGAGCUGGAGAGAGGCGUCCCAGCGCGGGCCCUCAGCCCUGCAGCCCUCUUCUUCCCAGCCUGCAGAUCCUGAAGAACAGCCUCUGCCCUCCCAACCGCACGGCUCCACUUCCUUAGCUCUAGCUGAGCCCGCGGUCCCCUGCCUUUCCCACCUCUCUCCUGGGCUCCUUCUUCAUCCCACAUUUAUUUUAUUUUAUUUUUAAGUUUAUCUAUUUGAGAGAGAGAGAGAGACGGUGCCAGUGGGCGGGGUGGGAGGGGGUUGGGCAGAGAGAAAGGGAGAGAGAGAAUCCCAAGCAGGCUCCACCCUGUCAGUGUAGAGCCCAACGUGAGGCUCAAACCCGUGAACCAUGAGCUCACAGCCAGAGCCGAAAUCAAGAGUCGGACGCUCAGUCGACUGAGCUACCCAGUCGCAACUCACCCCACAAUAUCAUAUUAAUGAUUGAACAGAUCAAUACCUUUACUCCUCUCCUUCAGAAAGCAUCGUCCUUUUUAGGCAGCUAUGUACUGUGCUACAUCCUAACCUGGGUUGGGAGUCAGGGACCUGAAUUUGACACAACGCAUUGUCUUUUUUCUGUGUGUUUCUGGUUGCUUCCCAUCAUUGGGUCUCCCCGGCUUCCCACGUCUAAACAAUUAGUUGUUAACUUGGUUGGUGUUUUUCGGCACAGACAAAGGGAUAUCAGAACCAUGGGGUGUAGGGGGUUCGGGACUGCUUCUAGCUGUGUCGUUCAGGCUGUCCUUGGUCACCUUUAUCAAAAUGUAUCUGCCCUGUGUUGCCUUUCCCCCAGACCUCUGCCUUCUAGAUGACACAAAGCAAACCUGACAGGUACCUCCCCCAGCCCUCUGUGAUUCCAAAUGUGACCCCCCCCCCACCCUACCCCCAGUUAGAAUCACUGCUUCAGAAGGGUUCCUCCUCCUGAUCGAAGUGUGUUUCAUCCUGUUAGAGGGCUGGGUGGAAAAGAGAUUGUGAAUCGCUCAUGGUUCCAGAUGAUCUUUCAGAUCCAUGGCAGUGCUUACACUCCACGAGACUAUGAUUCUGAUAAAACGCUAGUGUGAACACCUAAGUCACCUCCCUGUGGUUUGUGCCGCAGAGCAGAGGAAAAGAUAAUUAGCCUCAAAACACAAUGGAAGGGGUGGAGUAGUGGAGGCAGGGCCGAUAAGCCGGUCGGUCACACUGUGAGGCACAGAAAUGUUCUGCAUAGUAGGUCAUCAAGAACUGCCCUGGGUUGUCUGGGGGAGGUGGGGAGGCUCACCCCUGUAGAGAGAGGUCUCAAGACUCACAUGAGAACUCAAAGCUGCUCUGUCCUAGGAACUCUGCUCAGUUAAAUCUCUGCAGAAGGGGCUGUCCACUCUAUUCCUCACAUCACUGAUGAAAUCUGUCUGUCCUGUUCUCAGUGCUAUGGGUUAAGUCAACAUGAGCAUUUACUGAGCCUAGGAUUGGGGCCAGAUGGGGAGCAGGGGAGGAAGGGGCAAAACCCAAAUAAGCUUUAGGCUCUGCUCUCAGGAGGUCUCAGUCCAGCCUCCUCCCUUAAUAAGGGGAGAAGGGGAAGCUUGGGGAACGAACUAAAAAUAAGGCCCUAUCCUCAUUUAUUCAUUCACAAGAUUCCUCUGGGUGAUGAGCACACCUGGAGUGCUGACAGUUUUCUGAAGGGAGUGAGGCCACGGUGUUGUCCUCUGCCCCACGCCAGGCCUUCCCUGCUUCCCCCAGGCCUGGCGGAUGGUCCAUUCCAGUCCACCGGCCCAGGCGAUGACCCACUUCCCGGGCGUUUGGACAGUUGUGCUCAGACCUGAAUUCUUCCAGCUCCCCUGGAAACUCAGAAUCUGGGCUGCCAUCCCCACGAAAAGAUAAACACACCAGCUUCACGCUUCUGCCUAAAUUAUAUUUCUACAAAAUUUCUAACACAACAGGGUUUUUCCAUUACCAUAGUAACUCCUGCGUGUGAACAGCAGACUCCAGAGAGAAGGGAAUAAAAAUGCAGAGAAACCCAGGCUUCAAAAUGGUACCUGGGGAAAGGGGCAGGCAGGUGAGGCUGGCCAGCCACAGGCCUGGCCCUGCGGGGGAGCCUGUGGUCUCCAUCUGGCCUGAUCCAGGCCGUCAGGGCCGGAGGGAUCUGUGAUUCCUUUUGCAGCUAUUUUUGCCCAUAAGUUACAGUAUCUGGAGGCCCAAGGACACUGACAUUGCCCUGGUUUUCAUUUGGUUGACAUAGGACUUUCUUCUUCUUUCUUUUCUUUUCUUUUUUCUUUUCGUUUCUUUUCUUUUUUCUUUUCGUUUCUUUUCUUUUCUCUUUUCUUGCUUGCUUGCUUUCUUGCUUGCGUUCUUUCUUUCUUAGGAGAUCUAGGGGAAGAUACUUUUGUUUGCAGAUGGUGUCAUUCUGUGGCAUAGUUUGAAAGAGACAGGAUGCAAACAAGGCUGAACACGAUAUGGGUACGGAAUCAAAGAGCCGGAAAGGAAGAGCUGCCAUGCCCCAAAGCUGAAAUUGCUCUGUCCCCCCUCACCAGGGUGGCCGGCCCUUUGGUCUUUGUCCCUUCUGGGUCACAAGGCCAUGGGUACAAAGAGCCUCCAUUCAGGCUUCCCCAACAAGAGCAACAAGCCAGCAGUAUCUCCCAUCUCCGAGUUAGGCAGGGUAUUAUAAGGUCCAUUGCCCAGCAAACAUUCCAGGUCUACAGGAAGUGGCCUACAGCCUGAGUUGAGGGGAAAUGGAUAAAGACAAGGGCAUAACUGACGUCAUGCAGGCAAACUGCUGACCACAGUGCCUAGACUUUGAGCUAACAGGUUUGCUGCUUUAAAAUAUGCAGCGGGAGGAUUGUUCCCAGGGUCCCUGCAUCUGAGAAGCAGUGGGCUUCCUCCUAGGGUCACAGUUUGUGAAACAGGUCCUGAUUCCUGAGACAAGAAUUAUCGUUGAACUUUUGGAGAAUGUUGCCUCCGCUCGUGUGUGUGUGUAUGACUCACAUACACGGACACAAACUUUUCAAAACGCUUAAAUCUCUAAGUGAUGCAGAUGGCGACACUCCUCUGUGUUAUGCAUUCCUCUAGACACCAGGGCGGGAAACACGUAAAGGACUUAAGUUUCAGUAACAACGGGCCGCGGAGCACUAGGAAGGUGCCGUGUCUCAUCGCCGGGCCUUCACAGGCGCUGGCCUCUCUUCCCAGAUCCCUUCCCCCCACUCUCCUGUGCAUCUGUCAAUGGAACUCUGAACAUCCUCUCGCGCUAAGGGCUUCCCUAACCUAGCUUGGUUAGGAGCUUAGCCUAAAAGAAGAUGCGCCAUUUCCUGCCUGCGAUUUGACUAAGCUGUCACCGGGGCAUGGAGGUACCUCUGCUAGAGCUUGGCAGACAGUGAAGAGCAGACCAGAACAGCUGCAAAGGCGAAACACCAACCAUCAUCCCUUAUCAGACACUUCCUGGGGGCAGGGUCUCUGCCCCGGGCGAGGUGGUUUCAUAUCUCAUUUAAAUUCUCUCACGGGUGGGUGUCUUCGAGUGUCCAGCUUACAGAUCAAGAAACUGAGGCUCAGAGAGGGUAAAAAAAAAAAAAAAAAAUCUUCCCUAAAUGGGGAUGGGACGUACAGCACAGUGAGUAUAGUUAACAAUACUGCGUCACAUAUUUGAAAGCGACGAAAAGAGUAGAACUUAAAGGUUUUGGUCACAAGAAAAAAAAAUGUGUGACUCUGUGAGGUGAUGGAUGUUAGCUUAUUGUGGUGAUCAUGUUGCAGCAUAUACGUAUCAUUGGGUCAUUACUUUGUACACCUGAAACUAAUAUACUGUUAUAUGUCAAUAACACCUCAAUCGAAACAGAGAGAUCGGUACUCCUAUUUAAAUUGUGGUAGUGUAACAGUGAAUGAAAUAAAGUUGUAUCACUUUUUAAAAAGGUUUCUUAAGUAGGAGCACCUGCCUGAGUGGCUCAGUCGGUUAGGCGUCUGACUUCAGCUCAGGUCAUGAUCUGACAGUUUGUGAGUUCAAGCCCUGCAUGGGGCUCUGUGCUGACAGCUCAGAUUCUGUGUGUCUCUCUCUGCCCCUCCCCUGCUCGUGCUCUCUCUCUCUCUCUCUCAAAAAUAAAUAAACAUUAAAAACAUUUUUUAAAUAAAUAAAUAAAUAAUAAAAAGUUUCUUAAGUCAAACAACUAUUAAAGGGCAAAGCAGGUGUUUAAACACAGGACUUGGGCCAGUGCCCAUGAUCUUUACCACCGUACUAAGUGGCUUCCCUUACACGUUCCCAGGCUUUCUGUGGUGCUUUCUUCACCCACGUGUGUAGACAAAGAUUCUAAAACAAAGCAGUGUGGCCAUUUUGUGCCGAUAGCUUCCUGCCUCCUUUGUAAGCCUUGGUCCGAAUCCCGGCAGCAACAAAUCAAGAGCUAAAUUCUGAAGAAGCAAUGCCCAGGCAUCACUGGCCCAUGCAAAGAUCUGGGCAAUUGGCCCAGGGAAGGUGUGUGCUUUGUUUGGGGUAGGUCAGCAUUUCUAUUCAUGCUCCAUUGAUUUCUAGACAAAAUUUAUGUAAGUCCUAAAAGCUGGAAGCUCUGCCUUGGAUUUAACCCCCACACAGUCUCUUCUUUCUGAUUUGUUUUAAAGAUAUAAAUAAAUGUUUUUAAUUUUAUUUUUUAAUUAAAAAAAUUUUUUUUGAGUUUACUGGCUUAUUUGGAGAGAGAGAGAAAGAGAGAGAGAGCACAAGCAGGGGAGGGGCAGAGAGAAGGAGAGACAGAAUUCCAAGCAGGAUCUGCACUGUCAGCACAGAGCCUGAUGCGGGGCUCGAACCCACCAACCGCAAGAUCAUGACCUGAGCUGAGAUCGAGUCGGACACUUAACCAACUGAGCCACCCAGGUGCCCCAAUUUUAUUUUUUUAUUAAGAUUGUUAUUUUAAUUACAGUAUUAACAUGGUGUUAUAUUCGUUUCAGGUGUACAACAUAGUAAUUUAACAAUUCCAUAUAUUACUCAGUGCGCAUGCUGAUAAGCGUACUGUUUAAUCCUCAUCACCUAUUUCACCCAUCCCCCUACCCACCUCCCCUCUGGCAACCAUCAGUUUGUUGUCUAUAGUUAAGGGUCUGUUUCUUGGUUUGUCUCUUUUUUCCCCCCUUUGCUCUUAUGUUUUGUUUUUAAAUUCCAUGUAUGAGUGAAAUCAUAAGGUAUUGGUCUUUCUCUGACUUACUUUGCUUCGCAUUAUACUCUAGCUCCAUCCGUGCCAUUGCAAAUGGCAAGAUUUCAUUGCUUUUUAUGGCUGAAUAAUAUUCCACUGUAUGUAUAUACACCACAUCUUCUUUUUCCGCUUAUCAAAUGAUGGACGCUUGGGCUGCUUUCAUAAUUUGGAAAUUGUAAAUAAUGCUGCAGUAAAGACAGGGGUGCAUGUAUCCCUUUGAAUUAGUGUUUUUGUAUUUCUUGGGUAAAUGCCCAAUAGUGUAAUUACUGGAUCAUAGAGUGGUUCUAUUUUUAACUUUUUGAGAAAGCUCCAUACCGUUUUCUAGAGUGGCUGCAUCAGUUUACAUUCCCACCAGUAGUGCACAAGGGUUCCUUUUUCUCCACAUCUUCGCCAACACGAUUUUUCUUCUUCUUUUUUUUUUAUUUUAGCCAUUCUGACAGGUGUGAGGUGAUAUCUCAUUGUAGUUUUGAUUUGCAUUUCCCUAAUGAUGAGUGAUGUUGAGCAUCUUUUCAUGUGUCUGUUAGCCAUCUGUAUAUCUUUUUUUGGAGGAAUGUCUAUUCAUGUCUUCUGCCCAUUUUUAAUCAGAUUAUUCAUUUUGGGGGUUAUUGAAUUGUAUCAGUUUUUAUAUAUUUUGAAUACUAACCCUUUAUUGGAUAUGUCAUUUGCAAAUUCAGUAGGUUGCUUUUUGAUUUCGUUGUUGACGUUUCCUUCACUGUGAAAAAACUUUUUAUUUUGAUGUAGUCCCUAUAGUUUAUUUUUGCUUUUAUUUCCCUUGUUUCACAGACCUAUCUAGAAAAAUGUUGCAAUGGCCAAUGUCAACGACAUUACUGCCAAUGCCCCCUUCCAGGAUUUUUAUGGUUUGGGGUCUCACAUUUAGGUCUUCAAUCCACUUCGAGUUUAUUUUUGUGCUUGGUGUAAGAAAGUGGUCCAGUUGCAUCGUUUUGGAUGUUGCUGUCCAGUUUUCCCAACACCAUUUGUUGAAGAGACUGUUUUUCCCAUUGUAUAUUCUUUCCUCCUUUGUCGAGGAUUAAUUGACCAUAAAAUUGUGGCUUUAUUUCUGGGUUUUACUAUUCUAUUUUAUUCUUAUUCCAUUGCUCUAUGUGUCUAUUUUUGUGCCAUUUUUUUACUAAGGAUAAAAUUCACUUUUUUGCAAAAAAUUUAAUGUUUAUCAUAGAAAAUCAAACGAGGUUUAAUCGAAUGUAUCAACAAGAGCAUAAUAUACUGUCGUAAACAAGGAUUUCCAACCUGCUGUGUAACUAAAUAAGAGGUCAGUUAAACACUUGGUUUAGCAAAGGGCAAACACGAGUCACUGCCACCUCAUCCCAUACUUCCAUGCUGGUUCUCAUUUAAGGAAAACACACAGUGGUCUCCCUGGCUCUUUCCGCUAGAAAAGCAUUGGAAAGCGACAAGCCUGGGGAAGAAGAGAAGAAGCUGUAUAGCAAGGUAGAGCUGAAGUCAAAACUCUAUUUCCAUUACCUUGGGGGAAGUGGAAGGGACGUUUGUUAUAUGUUCACCAGGUCUACAUGGAAGACAGUUUGAUCACAAAACAGCCCAGGGUUAAGAUUUCAUUUGUGGGGCAUGGGAAACAUGGCCAUGUCCUAAUUCUUUCUUGGGGUCUCAAAGUGUCUCUGGCCAUGUACCCAUGUUUAGGGGCAAAGGAGAUGUUAACGCUGUGCCCCAGGCCCUCCACAGAUGCCACAGUGGCUCCUGCCUUGAGAUGACUAAAAGGAUGGCCCUCCUUUCCUUAGACAGACUGGCUCGGUGUCAGAAGUAGAGGCAGGGAGGUAUUGUCAACUGCAAUGAGUCGAGUCCACAGUUUAUCCCACAAUGGAUGCAUUCGGCUUUUUUAGAACCUCAAUGAGAUUUUCAGUGAUAGUCAAUCACCUAUGAGAUAUUUUCGCCUCUAUGAGACGUUUCUUACAAGUCUCUCUUGGGUUUGACUCAAUUGGUUGAAAACUUCUCUAUUGUUCUUGAAGACAAAUGCAAUUCCUUUUAAGUUAUAAACCAGCACUUAAGUCCUAUAGUUUAAUAUGUCUUCAUACCACCCCCGUUUGGAGCCUCCAUAGAGACGGAUGCAUUGCACUGCUGCAUGGAAUAUUCCAUCUCAACCAGUUGGCAGCCCCCAAUACUCAGUCCGUGAAACACAAUCAUAAAGUUCCUGGGCAGUAGAUUAGACACUUUUAUUUACCUCAUACUUGAUUGGGAAGUUAUCGAGGUCUCAACAUUUUGAUAAUUACUGGUAGAGGCCCAAAUCCUUUCAUGAACAGGAAGCAGGCUGAGAAGUCUUCUUUCUGAUUUUUGAGGCUUAAAAUUCUUCUUUCAUUCAAAUUUGUGUUUCUGAUGAGGAUGUGUCAAGGCCGAUUUGAAAAUGUCAGACGCUGUUCAUCACAGAGAGAAGCCAAAGGAACCCAUCUGAGGCACUGGAUGUGUAUAACUUUGGAAGAUGGUGCGUUUUCUACUUAAUGCAAUGGAGGAAUGUCAUUCUGAGUGGUGCCUUUGUUGCUUCUCACCCCCAGGCCACCACACAUAUACUGGUGAAGGGACAGCCAGAGGUAAUAUGGCAUGGUGGUGAAGAGCAGGCCUUUGAAAAGACUUGCCUCCCCAGCUUGCCACUUGUGUGAGCCUGAGUGCCUCCAUUUCUAGUCUCAAAUUCCUCAUCUGUAAAAUGGGGACACCAAUGCUCCUCUCAAACAGAUAUCGAGGGAAUCAAAUAACAUCGUGUAUAUAAAUCAUUCAACAGCAAUACCUAGAACACAAUGAAUACUAUAGUUUGGCAAACAAAUCUAAUGGACUUCAUAUUGGCCAAUGAGGGAGGUUUAGUUCUAGUCAGGUUCCUUUGAUUCACUUCAAAUUCCCUUUUGAAUUUUUUUUUUUCAACGUUUAUUUAUUUUUGGGACAGAGAGAGAGCAUGAACGGGGGAGGGGCAGAGAGAGAGGGAGACACAGAAUCCGAAACAGGCUCCAGGCUCCGAGCCAUCAGCCCAGAGCCUGACGCGGGGCUCGAACUCACAGACCGCGAGAUCGUGACCUGGCUGAAGUCGGACGCUUAACCGACUGCGCCACCCAGGCGCCCCUCAAAUUCCCUUUUGACAAGAAACUUCCUAUGCCAAAAUAUGACUUACAUUUUUCUAGAGGUAGGAACUACAUAGAGAUUAGGUCCCACAUGAGUGCAGAGAGUAGGAGCAAAGGAGAGGAAAAGAGAAUAAUGGGUAGAGUGGUCAGAAUUCCACAUGGCCCCCAAGAUUCCCACCCCCCUGGUAUAUAUUCUCUGUCUAAUCCCCUUCUCUUAUAUGAAGAGGACUUGGGAACGGGAUGGGAUAGUCAUGCCUGUGAUUCCUUUGUGUUACAUACAACUUCCAUCUUAGCUGGACUGGCAAGAAAGAUUUGUCCCACUGGCCUCAAAGAGGGAAACAAAUUGCCAUGUUGAGAACUGCUUAUGGAGGCACAUGACAAGGAUCCGGGGAGACCUCCAGGAGCUGAGAGCUUCUUUGGCUGAUGGCUGGCAAGAAAGCAGAAACCUCAGUCCUAAAAGACCCAGUACUGAUUUCUGCCAACUAACUGAACUUGGAAGUGGCCCCUGAGCUCCAGCUGAGAUCACACGCAGCUGAUGUCUUGAUUUCAGGCUGGUGGGACCCUGAACAGAGAGCGCAUCUACACCUGGACUUCGGACCCCACUGGAGAUUCUGAGAUAAUGAAUGCGUGUGGCUGUAGGCUGCUAUAUUUGUGCUAAUUUGCUAUGUAGCGUUGAAAUCUCUAUAGAAAGAAAAGGCAAUGAUUAGAGAAAUUUCUUCUUGCCCCUUCUGCUUCUCCCACAAGUAGAGAGGGACCUUAGAGAAGGCAUGGAAGAGGUGCCCAAGGUUAAGAGUCUUCCAGCUUUUGGCACACAGGGCCCUCCACACCUCUGGUCCUUCUCUUGCAUUUGGGCCUCCCUGCCUCCAGUCUCUAGUUCAGCGCCCAUGUUGCUGCCAGAUUUUUCUAAAGUAGAAAUCAGAUCACAUUACUCCCCCAUAAACCCUUCAGCGGGUUCCCCAUCGCCCACAAGUUGGAGCAACUCUCAAGGUCUGCAAGGCUUCUGGCUCCAUUAUUUAGGAACGAUUUGGGCACUUACAGAACAUCCAACUAACAGAGGCUUCCGCAAGCAAAGACCUUUCAUGACCUCACCUAGGAGAGGUCUAGAAGCAGGCCAUCAGAGUGGGAGCAACAGCUCACCCUCAUCAAGACUCAUUCUUCCACCUUCCCUCUACAUCCUCCUGACUUAGCACGUGGGUUUGCCAGCUCCAAGGUGCACGCGUAUUGCUGGCACUCGGCGUCUGCAUUCCCGGAAGCAGCCCGAGCCGCCAGAGCGGCCCAAACGGACUCCUGCCUCGGGAGGACGGAGCACGUUUCUGCCGCAAAGCCCCACCCACACGAGCUUACAUGUCAUUGGCCAGGACUGUCACGUGGUCCUCCCUGCUGCACCGGAAGGGGUGAAAGGCGGGCCUGACUUCUCCAACCGCGGAAGGAUGGUUAGGGACUGUCGCGUGUGUCCGGCAGCACCGGGGCCAUCGUUGGUGGCCACUCCUGCUUUGCCCAGCCACCACCCCCCGAGCAGCAGGCCCCUGGUGGAUUCUGAGUCUGCAACAUCGUCCCCGCCUCGGCCGCCUGGCGACCCCGACCCUGGUGCAGUGCCUUCCCCGCCCCAGGCCCCAGCCAGCCCUGGCUGCUCCGAGGCAUCCGGGCGACUUCCCCGCGGCCUCAUGCUGGGACAGCAGGCGCUCCUGCCACGAGGGCCCUCGUUAGCCGUCUCUUUGAAGGCACGUAUUUGCGUCUCGUUCUUAUUGUCCCAGAUUUCAGGCCUAAAACCGGAGUCAUACCUCCUUUCCUUGUUUCCUCAUCCCGUAUCUGAUCCAUAGCAAAUCCUACUAGCUCCAUCCUCAAAAUAUAUCCGGACUUCCGAUGCUCCCUACCAUCUGGACACCCCCCCCCCCCCUGCCCCGCCUGCUCCCCAACAUCGGCCUGUCACUCCUACUGCGGGGGCCCCCACGGAUCUUCCUGCUUCUGCCUCCCCCGAUCCCCCAGCCAGUCAGUUGUUACCUCAGCACGUUAUGUCCCUCCUCUGCCCUAAAACCUUCAGAUGGCUCCCUGUUUCACUUUGAGAAGUCAAAGUGCUUCUCACAUCCUGUAAGGCCCGUAUGAUCUGCCUCUACCUAUUUCCCAAUCUCACCUCCCACUACUCUCCCCCUCAUUAACGCAGUCCCAGCCACAUUACUGGCGCCUCACCAGUCUUUCCAAACACUCUUGUGCCUCAGGGCCUUGGCAUGGCUAUUCCUCUGUCUACAGGGCUUGGCCCCACACAUCUGUAGAUGCUCAUCAUUACAGUGAGCCCUUCCCUAACCACCUUAUUUUAAUUUAUUUUAUUUUAUUUUAUUUUAGAGUGAGUGAGCAGGGAAGAGGGGCAGAGAGAGAGGGAGAAUCUCAAGCAGGCUGCAUGCUCAGCACAGAGCCCAACCUGGGGCUCCAUCCCCCAACCCUGGGAUGGUGACCUGAGCUGAAAUCGAGAAUCAGUUGCUCAACCAACUCAGCCACCCAGGGGCGCCCCCCCCCCCCCGCCCCGCUCAGUUUUAAGUUUAUCCAACACUUUAUCUCUCUCCCAGGUGUAUUUUUCUUCAGGCACUCACCUAACAUGGUAUAUAAUUUAUAUAUGUAAUUUGUAAAUUUGUCUUUGCCACACUCCCCAUAAAUUAUAAGCCCCAUGAAGGCAGCUAUGUUUUCUGCUGUGUAACUGGCACCUAGAACACACAAUAGUAGCCUAACAAAUAUUGAUAAUUAAUGGGUUGAAUGAAUGGAUCUUUGCAUCCCAGCACAAUGCCUGGCCCACUGUAAAAGAUCAGUAAAUGUGUCGAGCUCAUGGACAAAUAACUGACUGAACUCGGAAGUGCAGAUCAGAGAGAACAAAUGUGCUAUGCAAAGUCUCUGUGAAGAAGCUGGCAUUAGGACAGCGUGUCAGGAACCAAGCAUCACAGCACUGGGAGCAGGAGUGUGGGGACGGGAAGAGGAGGGCAGUGACAUUCAAGCCAUUCAUUCCAUCCGGGAUUAAGUUCAAUUAACCCCUCAAAAGGCAACUCAAUUCUGUGUCCUCUUUCAUCCUUCAAGUUCAAGUUCUAUUAGCAAAAGCUGCUGCCCACGGCAUGAAUCUUGAUUUAGAGGGUAGGAGGAGGGCUGGUUUUUGUGCAGAUGGAGGAAAAACACAAGAAUAGGAAGCCCCACUGACUAUUGGGUGGGCCGUGGAACAAAGGUCCAAUUGUGCUGGUGCGUAGCCUGGCCAAAGACAAAGUGCGGAGGAGAAAAAAGGGAGAAGAAAGGUCUUGGUGCAGUGCCCAAAAUCUGGUUGCUUUUGUCACACAAGCUGUGUUUGUGACCCAUUUCAACUGCUGUUGGUUGUGUCGGUCAUAGAGUCAAAUCUGGGCAAAUCUGGUGGCUGUUUUGGGAAUCUGAUUCAAUUUGGAUACAUUUUGUACCGGGUUUCUCUCUGGUGUAUCGUUUCUCCAGUAAGUGGAUUCAUUACCUCAGACCUGGACUCCCGAAGAGACUGUGUCUCAACUGCUCAGGGUCGAAAAUCCUUAACACCCGUCAGAUGCAGGGAAGAGGCAGCUAUCCUUGUACGCACUUUGCGAGUUUUUGAAUAUUUGUGUAAAUAGGUUUUACACAGGACAUCUCCAAAGUGGGAAGAAACUUAAGCCCCUGGGCACGAGGCUGCAAAUGAACUAGAUGUGGUGGUGGGUAAUUUACAAUCUUUAAGAUCAAGCAAGAACAAACGUGUAUUUAAGGAGCCUCCGUAUGUAUGGUUCUGAGUUUAAAUUUUGGGUUGUUUUUUUUUUUUUAUAGUCACCUACAGAGAAUGCAAAUCUUAUUUUUAAAAAAAACUAUCAUGCGACUCUAUUUCGAUUCCCUUUAAAUCCAUAAAACACUUAUUAAAUCUGAAGAAUGUUUUCUCGUAAAAUACUCCAGAUUAAGACAUAGGGAGCUUAAUUUUGUUAGUGUUGUAAAAUAGACAACUUAAAGCUGCUUAGUAUUAUAUUUAAGGAUAAAUUGUCCCAAGAACAGCAUAAAAUGAGACAGUCAAGUAACAGAAGCCUGUUUUCGUAUUUGUGUAAUUGUAAUUUUACAAGCAAUAUAAAAAUGUAAUAAAAUUAUAUUGCAAUUAGGUUUUUAUUAAUUUUAAAACCUUUAAGAAAUGAUUUGCUGCUGUGUUUCCAUGUUUCUGGAGCAUAGCUUUUUCAAAUUAAUGCUAAAACUUCACUAUUUCUAUUUGUCAUAAAAUAAAGUCGCUGGCACGUUGUUGUCACCAGCUUUUCUUGUGAGGAAAGAUCUGGUGGCAAAGAAUUUAUAAUCUCAUUCUUCAAAAUUCUAGACAUUUGCCUGACCUACAUGUUUCUUAAAUCUUUCUGAAACUUCCUUGAAAGGAAACCAGAAGAAAAAAACAACAACAACCCUGAAAACAAAGAUAAAGUUUCCUUUAAAGGCUUUUUGUUUUUUUUAAUGUUUAUUUUUUAUUUUUGAGAGAGACAGAGAGCACGAGCAGGGGAGGGGCAGAGAGAGAGAAGGGGAACAGAGGAUCCGAAGCGGGCUCCAUGUUGACAGCAGAGAGUCUGAUGUGGGGUUCAAACUCAAGAACCAUGAGAUCGUGACCUGAGCAGAAGUCAGACGCUUGACCAAUUGAGCCACGCAGGUGCGCCUCCUUUAAAAGUUUUGAAAGAAAAAUGGAUCAUGACAUUAAUCGAAGAUCACUUUUUUUCCAUGUUUGAACUGUUGACUUUACUAAUUUCCUAAUCUGAGUUUUUGAAAAGAGUAUCGUUAAUGAUCACAGUUCUGCGGUUCCUCUUAAAUAUUAAUCCUGCCAGGUUUCUUAGAAGAAACCUGUAGUGAUCAAUUUCUAUUAAACUUGAUUUCAGUAUUCACAAAAGGAUUAAUAGAAGUUAUUUAUACAUCACCUUAAUCUUCUUGAAAGAAAAAAAGAAUGUGGAUUUAAAAAAAUAAGUAAGUGUGGCUUCAUACCUCAUAGCAUCAUCAAUGCAGCCACACUGGCCCCAACUUUCUGGGAUAAUCCCGAUCCAAGUCAUUUUAUUUUUUCCACUGAUGGCAAUUGGUUACAUGUAUAACUGAAUGAGAUUUAAAUCUGAUGAGCUUUCUUUUUCAUAAGACCAAGUUCUGAAAUUAGCAAGAACCAUUGGUAAGACCACAUAUCCUGUUUUUUAGUUCAGAAAAUACUGUCACUGUGGCCAUGAACUCUUUUUUUUUUUUUAUAAGAUUUUAUUUCUUUAAGUAAGCUCUACACCCAAUGUGGGGCUCGAACUUACAACCCCGAGAUCAAGAGUCUGCAUACUCUACUGUCUGAGCCAUCCAGGCACCCUGACCAUGAACUUCUUUAUUGAGAACUUUAAUACUAGAGCUGGUGGGGUUGUCUUUAAUUUCUUUCAGUUUCUCUGAGAGAAUGCCAAGUAAAAUGGGUCUGCAAAAUCUCCUUCAAAACUGGAUGGCAAAUUUGCCUUCUGCAGGACCACGUUCCCAGGUCAUGGGGCUAAGAGAUAGGGAGAGGAGGACCCCAGGCCACAAGCGCCAGGUCCACGCUACUAAGUGGGCUGCUCUAAGUCCCUGUUUGCUCACUUGCAACAUGGGCCGGAUAAACUGUACCUUCCUCCUCCUUGGGUUUUUGCAACAUCGCAUGAGAUGUCUGUGGAACUGCUCUGGAAACCAUCAAGGGCUGUCUGUCAUGAGCCAAGCUAGAAGACAGGCACUCUGGAUCCAACUGCCCAUGGAGCCGUUCCUCCUUGCAGGAACUCAGCUGGGACGCUUGUGUGGCUGAGCUUGGCUGAGAGGCCACAACCUGGGUAGAGCUGGGCCCAGAGAAGCUUCCCCCCCAUGGCAAGAGAGAGCAGGGAAGGCAGAGCAGGGCUGAGGCAACAAAAGACUCUGGGUUUGAGGGCCUGCUGCCUCUGCUCAGAUGAGUAUCUGGGGUGAGCUAUGUGUGUCCCUUGACUACCAGCUUGACCUUUGGCUGUCUUGGGGGAGAUGGUCUGUGGGACCACCCCAAAAAACACCCUGGGCUAUGAACUGUAAAGGGCAAAGAUGCACGGUCCUCUUCUUUUGUAAAUUCACGUGACUGAAUAAAAAGUAAAUAAUAACAUUGACCCUCCCUUUCUAUCAACUCUCGCCCCAGUUCUCACCCCUGCCUUUAAGAACCCACUUUCCUUACUCCUGGGAAGAAAGAAAGCAGCUCUUUCUGCUGAUUGCAAAUGAUCCUAGUGAUAACCCUGAGUUCUAGUUACACAAACGAAAGGGAAUCUUGUGAUCAGACCCAGAUUCACUGUGUCACUCGUAUCCACCUGUAUACAGUUAAAACCUCUCACCGAACUAGAGAUCCAUUUGUACAUGUAGCAGUCGUCUGAGCACAGUGUAACCUUGGAUACCAAGAAACCCAACUUUCUCAGUCUCGUUGCUAAGGCAACAGGACAGAGUGGGUGUGGGGGAGCCCAGCAUGUCUAUCUACAUGCUGUGCUACCAGCAGGAGGAAUGGGAUGGAGGGAUGGGGAGGGUCUUGGGCUGCCCACCUCUCCGAGGCCUUAACUGCAAAGGCCGCAGGGAUAGUGUAAUGUCCUCUGUCACUGAUAGCCGGGGAACCUCUAAGUGAGACCCUAUUUUAUACUCCUGGAGGGAUGCACAGCAGACAGGGUAGGCCGGGAGGGAGGUAGACAGAGGUGGGGUGAAGGAGAAGGACGCUGGUGAGUUGAGAAGUGUGGGGUAGGGGGAGACAGCAGCCAGAUGAAGCUUGGAUCCUGAUAUUACCGGUAUUGGUACUGUGCCAGCAAGAGUCUGGUAUUUCUGCCACAGAACCGAACAUAAGUGAGUCUAGAACAUAACCCUAGCCACAAAAUUCACACCAGUGGAUUAUGCAUGUUGACCUGGUUAAUCCUAUAAUGAACCACCAGGGAAUGGUUGAAAAGUAAAGCCGAACGCUUUAGAAUGUUCUAAAGAUCAGGUAAAAGGAGAGAAAGGUACUAAAACAAGAAAGAGUCUGCUUCUCCCACAUUGCUCGUUUGACCCGAGACCCUGUAUUUACUCUGAUCUACAGAGCCCAGUGCCCUUGUUCUCCUUCAGGACGCGGAGGGAGAAGAGGGUCCCUAAUGCCAUCUGGACCGUCGUGGAGAAUCACUCUCAUGUGCCUUCCAUCCAGGCAGUGCCUCCAGGGCCAGGCCUUCACAACCCCGAACCACCUGUAUCCACCCUAUUCAGGUAUCAUUUAUAACUCUUACUAUUUUGUUAGAAUAAUUUGUAUCUUGUUUAAAAUAUAGGGAAAUUCACCAAGACACAGAGGCAAUAGGACAUUAAUCACUGAGUGAAAAAUUCAUCAAAUUUUCGAGGGAGGGCAAGGUCAGUCAAGGAGCAGAUAGGAAUGCUUAUGUUGGCUCAGCGACCGGACCCAGCCAGAGCCAAUGAGAUUCAGUGGUGACCACUGCAGGGACUUCUGGGGAAGAGAGCACUGUAUCUGCCGGGCAUGGGGGGCCGCAGCCAUCUGGCCAAGCUGUGGAGCUCGAGUAUGGAGCCAGCCAGCACACAGAAGAGUGGAGCCAAAAGAUGCAGCAGAGAGACCUGGGUCCUCAUGACCUUGACUGAGGCCCCCUCACGCUGCUCACGCUGGGCCUGAGCCUAGACUCCUCUUCAGCUCUUCAGUGCGAUGCACCAAUACAUUUGUUCGUUUGUUGCCACAGGCAAGUGAAAUAGCCCUAAACCAAGGGAUAUAUCCUGUCUGAGGUUGGGAUGAGACAGAGGUGGGGGGGAAGUCGGUGGCCAAGGACAGAGGCCUCACGAGCAGGAGUAGCAUGACUGAUACGUAGAGAGGGAGGGAGAGAAGUAUGAGUCACUCAGGUGUAGUGGUUCUAAGUCUAAGUGAGGCAAACCCGAAGCCCUCCUAGUUUUCUUCUUUUUUUCCCAUGUGGUCGAAGAAGUUGUGAUUUUUGUAUACUGUUGCAGAAAUACAUGGUUGGACCUUUUAUUUAAUAAUCGCUGGCACUGGCUUAGUUCCUUUGCAUAAUUCUACCAUAUUUCCAAAAAGCUAAAGAGAGGAAUGUACUCCCCCCAACAUAUCCCACACCCUUCUCCUCUGCCUGCCCUCUACCAUGCCAUGUUUAUGUAGCAUAUGUUCUUUUCAGGGCAUGUUUUAUUUUUCCCUUCGGUGACAACUGUCCAGGGCAAAAGAGCUCUUUACAUAGGUGCUGCUUUGUCCCCAAAAUCUACUGCCCCAGUUUGGUAGAGGACUAACCACUACCCUCCCUUUCCUCUUAAAUUCCUGUUGUCUGGCAACAGAAGGACAGGUUCUCUGGUUAUCUUCAAGUAUAUCAUUCUCAGCCUCACUUCUACUUCUAGAACAGUCAUUAAAUGUGAUCUUCCUUGGAUUUGUAUCUGUUUUCCAAAGUGGGUUGAGAAGAACGCAAGUCCUCUGAGAUGUUCCUCAAAAACAGAGCUUGAAGUCCAAUUUGGAAAAUACCACACACCAUAACCCCCAUUGGAGAUUCAGUGUGCACUUUGAUCUUGUGGCCUUGAGAGAGUCCUACAAUUUAAAUUUUGCUUAGCCCACCUUUUCCCAUGUUCUGCUACCAAGGGAUUUUCUUUAAUGUUGUGUUGCUAACAUUCUUCUGAACAGGUAUUCUAUAGAGCAUGCUUUGUGAACAUCUGGCUUAAAAUAGAGUGAAUUGUACACAAUCUUUUAUUAACUCUAUUGUUAUAAGAAUGUAACUUUAAAUAACCUGAAGCAGAUGAGGAAUGUUCUUUCACCUUCUGCUUUGAUGAAAGCAGAGGUUUUUUUAAUGUGCAAAUGGGUAUGAAUUCAUCAUUUUCAUUAUUUUUCUUCAAUCCUGCAACUCCAACUGUUGUUCGCACUGUAGCCGUGCAGGAGGCCAAGCGAGAGGAAGAACAAGGAAUGCCUCUGGGUUUUCUCUCGGGGAAAAUGCAUGAUAUAAGCAGGAACAAAGGUAGUAGCCAAAAACAGGCAGCUGAGGUAGAGGAGAGCUGCGAGACAGAGCUUGGAUCUGUGAUGAUGGCAUUGAGAGUGUUAGAAGAGGUGGUGUGGUCUCCUUCGUUGCUACCUUCUGCUUCCCAAAGGUUCAGAGGAAUACGGAGCCCAGGGAAUGGAGAGGCAGAGCUGUUUGAGGUUCAAGACAGGGGUCUUGAAAGGACAUCUUUUCCCUUCUUGUUCCCAGUGUGAAGCCGCGUAUACAAUUAUGUUUUGAACACAAUAUGUGCCGAGCACAGGGUGAAGAGUUUAAUAUACAAUGUCUCAUUUAAUACCCACAAAGGCCCCGAGAAUGUAAUUUUUCACCGAUUUGCAGAUGAGGAAACAGAUAUAGAAGCUGACCUCAGGUCAUCUAGGUAAACUGGUAGAGUCCCUGUAUCUCUUUUUUUUUUUAAUUUUUUUUUUCAACGUUUAUUUAUUUUUGGGACAGGGAGAGACAGAGCAUGAACGGGGGAGGGGCAGAGAGAGAGGGAGACACAGAAUCGGAAACAGGCUCCAGGCUCUGAGCCAUCAGCCCAGAGCCUGAUGCGGGGCUCGAACUCACGGACCGCGAGAUCGUGACCUGGCUGAAGUCGGACGCUUAACCGACUGCGCCACCCAGGCGCCCCUAGUCCCUGUAUCUCUUUACCAGGACGCUACAAAGUCGCACAUCACGUGGGCAGCUCACCCCCCUUCGUCCCAAAGAGAUGACAUGGGAGUGUGGCAGGUGUGUCCAAGGCCUCAGGCCCACAGCCUGAUAAGACUGAUCUGUGUUAACUGACAGCCCUAAGUUGGGACGUGGGCACCUGAGCACCAGUCUGGGAGGAGACCGGAAGCCAGUUGACUGUCUCCAAAGACUUGUGAGCGGUUUUCAAAGUACCUGGAUAGCUGCUAAAAGGAGAGAGAUGUAAUUGGUGUAUUUGACUCAUAUUUUCAUUUUGCAGUAGCAUGAAAAUGAAUUACUUUUAUAAUUAAGCGAGGCUUCUUGGUUUGAAUAAAAAUACAAGGGGAGUAGAUAGGGGAAAAAAAAACUAGUCUUUUUUGGGUAAUAGUUAUUACCCAAAUCAACGACUUGUAAUAAUCGACGACUCAAGAACAAGUAGGAAUCUUAACACCUUCUGAGUUUUUUUAUGAACCAGGGAAUUUUGAUGAAAGUGACAUGAGGAAGUUCUGGACGAUCCGCAGCACCUUCUUCGGUGAGGAAGGGAUGCCCACACUGAGUUGGGGGGUGCCUGGCGGUGGAAAAGAAACAAGGGAGAAAUGUCUUUGAGGAGCAUUAUCUGCCAGGCUACGUAUGUUUUCACCUUCACCUGCCGUCCGAGAGCCGGGGCUGGGUCACCCUAGCUAAGGCACACAUUUACCUUACAUAGCCAUCUCUUUAACUUACCUAGUACCUAACUUUGCCUGGUAGUAUCGUUGUUAUGUGUCUGAUGCCCCCGCUAUUUCAUACUUCGACAUUCCGCUUAACAUAAGCAACGGUAAGAGUGAGAAGCUGAAAUCAGACUGAUCUGGGUUCUGAUGCUGGCUUUGCAAAUUGGACAAAUUACUUCAAUUCGGUUUUUUCCCCUAUGAAAUGGGGAUAAUAGGAGUCCCUUUCAGAACAGUGAAUAAUACUGAAUUAACUUUGUAAGGUGACAGAUGGUAGCUAGACUUAUUGUGGUGAUCUGUUUUCAGUGUUUACAAAAGUCAAAUCACUGUGUUAUACACACACGCAACUAAUAGAAUAUUGUAUGUCAGUUAUAUUUCAAUAAAAAAUAGUCCCUUUCUCAAAGAGUUGUUACGAAGUUUAAAAAGCAUGAUGCAUGGGAAGUUCUUAGUAUAGUGCCCAGCACAUAGGAAGCACCCAAAACAUAAGUUUCCCUUCUUAAGAGGAAAGCUCUUUGAUAAUAGGUAAAAAUUUAAUAACUAUUUGUAAAGUAUUUUUAUGCAUAUUAUCCUGAUCCUUAUACAGGGCCUUGAAUUAGGAAGUAGGUUAUUGGGGAGAAAUUGGCAUUCUUUUGCAAUUAUGGCGGAAGAGUAAUUGAUCCAAAUCUUUCUGGAAGGCAACAUGGUAACAGAUCAAAGACGUAUCCUCGAUGCUUUGAGACACGUAUACAAACAGGCAUAUGCAGAAAGGUUCAUCAUAGGGGCACUUGGCUGGCUCAGUCAGUGGAGCGUGUGACUCUUGAGCUCAGAGUUGUAAAUUUGAGUCCCAUGUUUGGUGUAGAGAUUACUUAAAAAUAAAAUCUUUUUUAUUUUUUUUAUUUUAUUAUUUUUUUUAAUUUUUUUUAACAUUUAUUUUCAAGACAGAGAGAGACAGAGCAUGAACAGGGGAGGGUCAGAGAGAGGGAGGCACAGAAUCUGAAACAGGCUCCAGGCUCUGAGCUGUCAGCACAGAGCCCGACGCGGGGCUCNACGGGGCCCGACGUGGGGCUCGAAGUCAUGGACCACGAGAUCACUACCUGAGCCGAAGUCGGACGCUUAACCGACUGAGCCACCCAGGUGCCCCAAGAAAAUCUUUUUUAAAAAGGUUCAUCAUAGGGGCGCCUGGGUGGCUCGGUCAGUUAAGCGUCUGACUUCAGGUCAGGUCAUAUUCUCGCAGUCAGUGAGUUUGAGUCCCACAUCAGGCUCUGUGCUGACGCAGCUCAGAGCCUGGAGCCUACUUCAGAUUCUGUGUUUCCCUCUCUCUCUGCUCCUCCCCCACUCACGCUGUGUCUCUCUCUGUCAUCUCAAAGAUGAAUAAAUACUAAAAAAUUAAAUAAAUAAAUAAAACAAAAGGUUCAUCAUAAUAUUAUUAAUAGUGAAAUUUUAGAAACAACCUAAAUGUCCAACAAUAUUAGAUUGGUUAAUAAAUUCUGCUACAUCCAUAUAACAUGUAUGAGGAAACUUUUAGUUGCAAGUUACAUAUCAUUGCUCAUGCUAGCUUCUGUCAAAAAGGGGAUUUACUGGCUUAAUCAGGAGAGGCAGGCCUAGCUCAGAUGCUACUGCUCUGUAAGCCUUCUCUGACCCACCAGGCAGGAUAUAUAGAUUUUUUUUGUAUCCUUUUAUGCAUAAGUCCUAAAACAGUGCCUACUCUAGGCUAGGAGCUUAAAUUAGCAAACAAAUAAAUCAAUGGUUUUAAGUGAGGGAUCACAAGGAAAUCAGUGUGGCCUAGAGGCAAGAGGCUUGGAGGCAGAGAGACUCAGUACAGGACCUACCUCCUUGGCUUUUCAGCUGUGCGACCUUGGUCAAGUCAACCAACCCGAGCCUCAGGUUCCUCAUGUAAAAUCAUAGAAGCCGCUUGAACAGAUAACUGUAGAGGACUGAAGAAGCCAUCUAUCUCUUUAAAAAUAUUUGAAUAUAUAUUUUUCUAAUUAUCAAAGCAAGGGAAUGAAAUAACAUCUUUUGAUGCCCCCUGUGUAACUUCAAGAUUUCAGCCUACUUUUGUUAUCUAUAUUCCUCCUUUACUCGCUUGCAGGUCUAUAUAAAUAUAAGCCGGGAUUUUAGGUGUUUCUUAAAGUAACGUUCUUUCAUUCAUUCAUUCAAUGAACACAAUAUACAUCAGGCGCUGUAUACAAGUUCUGACAGAGAAAGAGAUUUUUAGAGAAAUAAUAGCGAGGCUAUGUGGAAAGGGCUGUCAAAGAGGUGUGAUUAAGAAGUCUGCUAUGGAGGGGCACCUGGCCAGCUCAGUCAGAAGAGCAUGAGACUUUUGAUCUCAGAAUCAUGAGUUUGAACCCCACGUUGGGCGUAGAGAUUACUUAAAAGUAGGUAAGGAUACUGCUAUGGAAACACAUAGGGGUUGGGGGGCUAGAAUUCUAGGGCAGAUGGAGGAGAGUGAGUCCUGCCCCCAAAUCACUGCCAUAUGAAGCUUGGAGUUUGCUGAAGAUGUGGGGUUUUUCUUCAAGUGCGGACAUGAUGGUCUUCCAGUGAUGUCAUGCGGUGGCAAAAAGGGCAGAGAAGAGGUGCCUUUGAUGGGAUGACCGGACUUAUGGUUUCUUCCCAUGAGGUAGGAGUGAUAGGACUGAUCCCUUGCACUGGGGAAGCCCCCAGGGCUCUGGGAUGCCAUGACCUGACGAGGGACGGUGUGGACUUCCUGCUAAUGGAGGCAUGAGGGGCCUCCACUCCAGGGGCGGGAGGUUGUUGUACCCACCUGGUAGAGCAAGAGACCUUGGUUACAUUAGAAAACCGUGUUCCGUGCUGUGCUGGCAUCCCCACUUGCCAAGAUUCUAUCUCCGGUUCCAGUUACAGGCAGGAGCAAAGGCAGAGUUAGCCGGCAGAUGUGUCUGGGGCCCCCAGUCUAAUUCCAUUCCAUUCCAUGUCUGUUGUCUUCUAGUGUCUUCAGCUUCCAAGGUCCCAGAUUUCUGAAGCCCUAGGGCUGCCUGUCUUGGUGGCCACCACAUGGGCAUUCUAGCUCCCAUCACCUUGCCAGGAAGGGUAAGGAAACACCCAGGCUUCAAACAUAGGAGCCCUGGCUCUGGGUGCCCCAUCCUGAUUGUCCCCAGUGCACCUCCUUUUUUCUGGUUUUCCCAUUGUCCUAGACCCACACCUAUUUCUUCCUUUCAACUGCUAACACCCUCUCCUCUGUCAUUCUGUUGAGAACAGUGAGAACCUCCAAGUGCUCCCUGGUGCUGAGGCCUACAAGAAAAGGUUGGAUGGGGUGCAUUUUGAGCUGAUCCCCCUUCUGCCCACUUGCCCUGUAAACAGGAGCCACCUGCCAUUCCUCCUUCAUCUCACAGCUUGGAACGUGAACCAUGCACCAGGGAAAUGGAAUCUGCAGAGAUGCAUUUCCUGCACCUUAGGCCAUCCCUGCAUCCCUUCAAUCUCAGGAUUCUCCAUCAUCUCCUGCUGGGUGCUCUGAGGACACAGCCUGUGCAGAAACAGAACCAGGCAACACUACCCAGGAGCAUUUGGUGGGUGCUGGGGAAGUACUUCCCCACGAUGCUAAUGAUGGCAACUUGGCGCUGAGAAGCUCGUUAGCAAAAGCAUUGAAGACGCCUGCCAUAGCUUUCAAACGCUGACAAUCCGUAAAUUGAAAUUAACAACGAAUAAAAAGAUAAGGAAAGCGCACACUCUCCUCACUCCAGCUUCCGUGGAUGUUCUUAGUUACCGAAAGAGAACUGAAGCAGGAGGGAGAAAGAUCCCGGCUGCGUUCCCCUUGCCACCCUUCUUCCCGCAGGUUUUGCCUUUUCCCAACCGCCUGGCGUGUGUGCAUAUGUGUGUGUGUGUGUGUGUGUGUGUGUGUGUGUGCAUGCGCAGAACCUCCCUUCUGUUCAGCUUGCCCCCUUGCCACUCCCCAUUUUGCGAGAUUUCAGCUCACAGUCAAAAUGGGGAGAUGGCCAAAUUGUAAAAGCAACUGCAGGCUGCUGCCGCCCGCACUCAGUGGGGGUGUCUUGAUGCCUCGUCACCGCGUCCUGAGCAGGCCAGUGGGUGCGCGUGUCCGUGCGUUUCCUUCUGCACUGCACCAAAAUACUGUCACUGGAAGGUAGAUGGAGCCGUAAUUACAGCUAACCGUUUGCUAUUCAAAGGCUGUCCUUUUUGGCAGCUUCUACCUUUUGGAAGAAAACGAAGGGAGUUGACAGCAGGGUCAGAUCUUUGCUUUGCGAGGAUGGUUCUGGAAGCUAUGUGGAAAACAGAUCUGAAGGGUGCAUUAGCUCGGGAGGUUGGUGGCUGCUGCAGGUAACUGGGAGAGAGAUGAUGUGGUUGUUCUCUAGUGACCCAGGACUUCCUGUGUUCACACCCUUUUGUGAUGUGGCAUCACCACUCCUCUGAUGAAGAGGUGUUUAUCCUUCACACCUUUGAAUUUGCCCUCGUCUUGUCACAGGGUUUUAUCAGUAGAGUGCAGUAGACAUGACCUUAUGUGACUUUCAAGCCUAGGCCUCAAGAGGCCAUGCAGCUUCAGGUUCUCCCUCUUGGAACUCUGAGACCACCAUGCUACCCAGAAGUCAGGCAAGCCGACUGGAUGAUGAGAGACAAGGUGGAGAACUGAACAUCCCAGUCAGAUAGUCAUUCCAGCAACCAUCCGCUUACAACUGCUAAGUGAGCCCUGGCAAGACCAGCCCACGAACCACCCAUCAGAAUAAUAAAUGAGUGUUGCUUUAGGGUAGGUUUGUGAAGCAGCCCGGAUAACUGAAAUAGACAGUGUUAGUGGGAUUCAUUCAUUCAACAAAUAUGUUGGGGCACCUAUUAUGUGGCAGGCUCAAUUGCAGGUACCAGGAAUCUUGCAGGUGAACAAAACGGAUGCACGAGCCUGCACUCUAGUGGGGGGUGGACUGGAGAAGGGGUAAGUGUGAGAAAUAUUUAGGGCCUCAUGACUGACUGAAAAUGGAGGGUGCAGGGGAGAGGAAUAAAGUAUGGCUUCUUGGGUUUCCAGUGUGAGCAGUGAGGGCAAUGGUUGGGCCAUCCCGAGAUAGCAAAGCAGACUGGGAGUGGUCCAGUUUUGAACACAUGUGCACCCAUGCAUGGAACAGCAAGAUGGCAGAUGUAAGGAGGCGUCUGAAGCUUAGGAGGGGUAUCAAGAUAAAUAUUUUGGAGUCGUUUUAUACCGUACAAUUCAGCAAAUAUUUAUUGACUGACAACCAUGUCAAUCAUUCUGAGACACCAGGAAAUACAAUGACAAACAAGAGAUGGUUUAGUGAAAAAGAUGAAAACCUUCGCUGUAGCAAGUGGUUUAACAGAGACAAUGCAGAGCUCUGACACAGACACGGAAAACCGAGAAAUUGAAUAUAGACGGUGGUUGAAAUCAUGACACUGAGUAAGGUUAUCCUUGGACUGCACAAAAGAAGAACAGUGGAUGGGCCAAGGACAAAAUCCUGGGAAAUAUUAACAUUCAUUUUUGUGCUUAACAGUAAGGGAGAAGACAUACAAGAAAGGGUAGGAGAUACUGGGGGCCAGGGAGGGGCAGGAAGAAGACGGGACCAGGGAGAGGAAGAGAAAACAAGUUGCUUUUUUGUCACUGACCAAGGAUUUUAGGGGCAAGAGGCUGGUGAGAAACUAAUAGGCUAAGCAUGUUCAAAUUGUUUCGGGGUUGUUGGUCGAAACUGUUGCAAAUAGGUUCUGAUUUCGCCUAGAUGUGCUGUGGGCUCUCAGAAGCUUUAUGGUGGGGGGUGGGGGGGGCACUGAUGGCUGGUCUGCUUCCAAGAGUGCCCAGGAGAGGCUUUCCUUCUGCAAGUCCCUAAGGGGCUCUGAGCCCUGCUGCUACUAUAACAUCGACUGCUUUGUUUUCUCACACGCAACCCUGGAUUCCCUUUUAAAUGGCUGAUUUAUAUUAAUUUUGCUCUUACUCUUUGUUUCUUAAUAUCAGGGAGUCAUCUCAUCUGGGGCCCCAGGUUUCGUGAAGCUGCCCCCAGCUAUAGCCUAUCAUUCCCCACAGGAAGAUGCUCUCCUUCAUGAAGGCAGGACACAGAGAUAACCCCACAGCCAGCUCUUAUUGUCUGCCUGAGGAGGACACGCUAGCCCAAAGAAUUCUGUUAGGAGUUGAAUUGUGCCCCCCAAGAAGUUAUGUUGGGGUACUAACCUUCAGUACCUCAGAACGUGACCUUAUUUGGACAUAGGAUCUUUACAGAGGUAAUCAAGCUGAAGUGAGGUCAUUUGGGUGGGCCCCAAUCCAAUAUAACUGGUGUCCUUAUAAAAAGAGAAAAUUUGGACACAGAGACAGAUAUGCACACAGGGAGAACACCAUGUGAGGAUUGGAAUACGCUGCUACCAGUCAAGGAACUACCAGAAACUAAGAAAGAGAUUCAGAACAGAUUCUUUGCUGGUGCCUUCAGAGGGAGCAUAGCCCUGCAGACAUCCUGAUCGCCGACGGCUAGCCUCCAAAAGCAUGAGACGAUAUAUUUCCAAGUCAUUCAGUUGUGAUGCUUUGUUGUGGCAGCCCUGACAAAGUAAUACACACAAAGUAAUGCAACUUCCAGGUCUUGAAUAUCCCAGAAUUAUUUGAUUGAAUCUUUGAAAUGUAUCAGAAUAGAAUUUUUAUUCAAUGAGAUUCAACUGGAUCAGGAAUUAGGAUGAAUUCAGAAGAGCGCUGAGUAAAUUUUAUCUCUGUCUGCUGAAUGAGUAGCAUAAAAGAGGAAGCAUACACUACUCGAAGAAAACAAAUUGUUUUCAAACUCUCAUUUGGUUUAGAAGUACUAUUUACAUAUAACUGAGGCACUAACUAAAUGUGGUUUCUUAUUUAUUUACUGCAGUGAUCACCCUCCCCCCCACCCCCCGCCCAGGGAACAUUCCUGAUUCCCAUGCUGGGUCUCAUAGGCUAGUUGGUAGUUCAGAUGUCUCUUUAACUUAGAUUGACUAGUUGUCUCCUCAGCUAGUCAGAACAGGUAAGAUUUUAUGUUGUUGUUGUUGUUGUUGUUGUUGUUGUUGUUGUUAGAGCAUGCAUGGGGGAGAGGGACAGGGGGAGAGAGAGACAGAGAAAAUCUUAAGCAGGCUCCAUGCUGAGCGUGGAGCCCAAUGUAGGGCUCGAUUCCAUGACCUUGGGAUCACGACCCUAGCCAAAAUUAAGAGUCAGACACUCAAUUGACUGAGCCACCCGGGCGCCCCUAAACAGGUGAGAGUUUAAUGCUAGCUCUCCUGGGUAGUUUCUGCUUGCCUCUCCCUCCUAUUUUAAGCCCUGGAAGGCUGACCCAUGUCGACUGUAAAAACAGGUUCCCUUCUAGUCGGGUUCAGCUGAAAGGAGGUGCUGGCAGGAAUCGAGGGAGGGGGAAGGAGGAGAGACAAGGAGCAGCAUUUGUUCCCCAGGGUGUGGUGCUCCCUCCCUUCAGAUCACGUGGGCUGGCUGUAUUCCUUUGGGGAAAGCCACAGCUCUGGUCAGGGAGGUGAUCCCUGCAGCCCUUUGUGGGUUCAGCGAACCACUCCCUGCCCUGGCCCUAACUCAUUGAGGGCUUUUACCUUCAGUGUCCCCACAUUACUGCAGUAUCCCUCGUCCUUAACCCUCAUAAUGCUGUCCAUACCUUUGUAAAUUCCUGUAGACCCUUUAUUAAGCCCUCCUGGGAUUAUUUAGUCUGAACGUGCCAUCUGGUUCCUGCCAGAGCCCUGAUGAAUUUGCUAGUGAAGUGUACCAAUGCUUCCCAUAUGUCUGAGGCUGUGCUAAGGACUUCAUGUGCAUUCACUCAUUUAAUCCUACCAGCAAGCCUUACAACAUUUAAUCUUACUAACAACAGACUCACCUUCACACCGUGUUUUACUCAGGCUAAUAUUAAAAAGUGCUUGCAUUACCUGAACAGCCAUGACAGAUACCAGAAGAACUUGGGAAUCCACAGGGGUGCAGGAAAUGUCAUGCUGGGUUAGAUACUUACCACGAAGAUGGGAGGAAGAGAUAUUCAACUAUGAGUAAUCAAAAUGUACCUUUUGUAAAAAGAAGUUGGCUCUCUAAAUAACGAGGCCUGGUACGGAUGGGAGUGGGGAGAGAAAGGGUACCUGGGGAGGUGACUUUCAGCAAGGGGCAGGAAUUCCUUUGCAGCCAGGUAGCAGCUAGUGGCAGUGUGCCCUCUGUCCCUCGCCUCCGUCCCCCAUUGCCCUCUGUCUUUUACACAUUAAUAGUUCUUUAUAAAUAUUGAUGCCCGAGAUGGCCUCAUUAAUAUUUAUUAGCCCAUGCCAUCCUUCUUCACCCGGGGUUUAAGGAGUGAGCCAUCAAUUUGGUGCUGUCAGAGGUGACGUGUGCAAGGUUCCCUGGUGAGAAGCAAUUAGAUGGUCUCCCCUCCAAAAAGUAUUCUGAUGUUCUUAAAGCACCAAUAUUUGCUGGGGGGACUUCAAUAACAUCUUUAGAUUUUUCAUUUUGCUUGACUCCUACUUACAUUUUCAAGCUCAGAAAACUCCCUAACCAGCCUGGUGGCUUUUAAGGUGACUAAAUUGCAAACCCUUCAUCCCCAGGGGUUCCCCAGUGGCUAAGGCCGAAGCCAUUCAUGCUCUGCUGCAGGAAAAAAAAAAAUUUGAAAGGCAAAUUCCUCCAGGACUUUGAGUCUGUAGGUCUGUGGGUGAGCAGAAUUACAAAGGCCACACGCGCCUUAGCACCACCCCUCUAUGUCCUAGUCCCUGUGCCAGGGCUAACAUCCUGAAAUUGAAGCUCAGUGUUCUUUCUGAAACAGUGGCUAAAACAGGCUUUCAGAGUCAGUGAUCCUACCAGGCUAGUGCCCCAAAUCCUGUUUGCCUAAACACAAAGAAACCCUGGUUAAUUAGCAAAUGUACUUUGCUGCUCAUGUUCUUGCUGCUGAAAUGAAUAGUAGUAACAUGUGACUUUACGGACAGUUCUGUAUCUAGAUAGCCGGUUCUCUCUACUAAAUUUAAACUUUCAGAAGUCACCGAGGAAUUUCAAUAACAACUAUAUGGGAAAAAUAGAGAGUUACCGAUUUUUGGAGCGGAGCAGAGCUGAAAUUCUUGUUUUUAUAGGAGACAGAAGGUCUACAGUCAUUUACCCAAAACCACACGGCAGUGUUUCACGGCAAAGGGUCCACCACGAACUCUUGAUUUCAAGUGCGGUGCUCUUUUCACAAUGCUCAUUAUAUGAAUAGUGAGAUGCUCUGGUGGUCCAUUGAAAACAUCACCGGAAGUCCCAAGGUCUGCUCUUUCAUUCUUGCGGUUCAUUCAUAAUCUAACUCUGACUACCCACAUAAUCUGCAUCUCUCUCUAUGUAUCAAAGAGCUUGGCCAGAAAAUAACAUAAUUUUUAGGAGUGUGUUUGAUGAUAUAACAAAAUUCGAAAAUUACAAUAAUGCAGAAUAUACAAAUAAUAUAAUAUGAACCACACUUUUGUGGCCCAGAUAUUUUGUUCGUUCUAUUAGUGUUUAGAUAGAAUGCAUGAAUCACGGGGGCAGGGACUAUAUUGGUCUUCUUCAUGUUUUCCUCAGAGUGCCUAGAAUAUAGUUAGUACUCAAUAAAUAUCGCUGAAUAUGGGACUGUUAUGAAAUAUUGGUACAAAAAUUAGAAAUGUAUAGGUCACAUCACACAAAAGAUAUUAGGAUAUUCUUAAGAUGACAUCAUGAUUGUCAGAUUUUUUCUUUUUGUCUUCAGAUGCCUUUAUAUCUCACUGCUGGCCUAGGGAUAUUAUUUGCUUCUGACAUUAACUAUUGUUUUUACACAAUAUUACAAUUUCCAUGAGGUUAAGGACUAUCUCUAUAUUAUUCAACUCUGUACCUCUAUAACUGAGCCCCAAGCUUGGCACGGAGUAAGCACUCCAUAAAUACUGGUGGUUGUGUUUCUUUUUUACAACUCAAUAAGAGCGUUUGCUGAGUCGCCAUUUUGUGGUUGUCAACAAGAUUUGCAGCUCUUCCCUCAGAACACUGGCCGAUUUCAGGACUCUGUAGCUAGCUUUAACUCUUAAAUGACAAUGAAAGACAACAAGUUGCCUAACUUUGGGCCAGAUGAGCUCUUAGCAUUUAUAAACACAGUCAUAAAGUGCCAAUGAGAGUACCAGACAGUUCGGCUGUGGGACGGAAGAAGUAAGAGUCCCAUAAGCCUUCAAAGGACCAACAAACCUCCUUCUUACCAACAGGAAAAAACAACUGGCAGCUCUCUUCACCAACUCUACUUUCUCACCCAAGGGGAACGUUUCCUAAAGUAUUCGCUCUUUUGAGAGCUUACAGACGGCAAUGACUUAAAUGCCUCUUUAAUACUAGUAACACACUGCCUGAUCCUCACCAAAUUCCAAAUGGCACCAAUUGACUAGAUUUGCAAAGUCAGAUGCUUACAAAAGUCCGUGCCAAAUGUCUGUCAAUUACAUUCUGAACUAGUAGGCAAAGAUGUGAAGGAAAAAGACAUUCCAGAUAAGGGUAUGACAUGGAGGAAAGUAUGGUGAUAGGAAAAGAACAAAGAGUGGUUGACAUGACGUACACCAGUGUAAAUAAAGCCGUUUCUGAACAAAAGAUAAGAUGAAGCAUAUGGGUCGGGCUCAUGAAUUCCUAUUCAAAGUUCUCAAAUUCCACGAGACUUAGCUGUUGCCGCAUAACAGACCAUCAUAAAAUUCACUGGCUUAAAAUAAUAAAUAUUUAAUGUUAUUGCCCACAGUAAUAAUAUCUUGGGCAGUUCUUUGGGUCUUCUCCGGACUUCUGCAGCCUGCUGUGGUGUGGGUAGACAGCCCUGCUGAUGUUGGCUGAUUCCUCUCACAUGUUACAUGAUUGGCCGGCUGUCGGUUUGUCCAGGAGAAAGUUAACAAUUGUAGGCUGAUGCUGCUCUUUAGAAAGACCUGCUUGCAGAGAUGACCCUUGGCUGGUAUCUGGGAACUUGAGUUUUGGAAUGUUCUCUAUGUUAUUAACUGUAUUGUUUUUCAACUGCUGAUGUAACAAGUUGCCACAAAUUUAGUGGCUUAAACUAACACAGGUUCAUUAUGUUACAGUUCUGGAGAUAAGAAGUCCUUGCCUUUUCAAGCUUCUAAAGGUCAUCUGCAUUCCUUAGCUCAUCACCCUUUCCUCCAUCUUCAAAACCAGGACCAUAGCAACUUCAAGUCUCUCUCUCUCUCUCUCUCUCUCUCUCUCUCUAACCUCUGCUUUUGUCAUCACCUUUCUUUGACUCUGAUCCUAGAUAAUCCAGGAAAAUCUUCCCAUCUCAAGAUCCUUCAGUUAUUCACAUCCUCAGUGUCACCCUUGCCAUGUAAUUUACCAUAUUAAUAGGUUCUGGGCAUUAGGACAUAGGCAUAUUUGUGUGUUUCAGGUUCACUAACUGAGGAUGGAGAAUACAGUGGGUUAACAAGCUGGAAAUUUAGAGAUUAAAGCCAUUAGAAGGUUAUGGGAAAUUGUUCAGGAUGAAAUAAUCAGUGAUUGGAGGUACGAGUCAAAAAAACAAGUUAUUUACUUGAAACUGGUAAACAAACAAACCAACAACAAAACCUGUGUUAAUCAAGACCAGUUUGGGUAGAGCUUGUGGUAUUUAUAUUGAUUCAUUCAAAUAUUUAUUGAGUGUGUACUGUAUGCUGAGACUACAGAAGGAAUAAAGUAGACAUGUUUAUGUCUCCAUAGAGCUUACCUUCCAGUUGGAUGUUUCUAAGAAGGUUUAGGCUGAUCCCUAAAGAAUAGAAAGAGGCAGUUCCACAAAAAAAUAAGGGGUUCCAAGGAGGGAAAUGGCACGUGCAAAGCCCUGGGGUUGGAAAGAAUGUUAUCCUCUAUAAGUGUAAUCAAAGUUCUAGGAGACUGAAGAAUAGAGAACGAGGGGGAAGGAUGUACCUAAGGUGGCAAGGAAGGUAAACAGAUGCCAGUUCAUGCAGCAGGGGCCUUAUGGCCACAAGAAGGACACUAGAUUUCAUUCUUAGCGUAACUAGAGUCACUGAAAGGUCUUGUUUUUCAAAAUGGUAACUUUACUGUUGAGGGACAAGAGUUGUAGUGGGAAAAUCAGUUAGUGCCUUACUACUCAGUGUGAUCCAUAGACCAGCAGCAUCAGAAUAUUAGUCCCUCCCCAAAUCUAGAAAUAGAAUCUGCAUUCUAACAAGAUCCCCAAAUGGUUCAUUUGCACAUUAAACUUUGAGAAGCACUAAGCUGGAAGAUCAUGGUAGCUUGAGUCAACAGUGACUGGGGAGGUGGGAGAGUAGAGAGAAUGUCUUAAAGAUAGUCAUAGGCAUACAGAAUUUGAGUUGGUAUUUAAAGCUGGUAUAGGGAGGACAAUGUUUAAAACACAGAUAUUAGUUAGAUGCAGGCAUGGAACACUAGUCUUUGGUGUCAGAGAUGUUUUCAGGCAGAAGUCCAGUACCCUGGAGAGCUCCCCUAAACCAAUAGGUUUUUGGAACUGAAGUCUAAGGAUCCACAGAGAUGCCUUUUUAGACUCAAAACUUUGAAGUCAUCCUUGACUGUAUUCUCUUGAUAAAGCUCUGAUGAUCACUGGGUUAAAUCCUAUGAUUACUGUAAAUCAUCUUCAAUACCCAAAGAACUUUCUGUUCCACAUGAUAGAAUGGCCAUGGUGUCUGCUCUGACUUGCACACUCUAGUGUGUCCUAAAGGAGGCCAAUAGGCUGAGAUGAGGUGAAGGUAAGACCUUUUCUUCCUGACACUAUUUGCCCUCAAGGAUGUCUUCUUUUCUGGAACAGGAGCUAGAGUUUGACCUAGGUUCAAGGGUUCAAUCCCAGAAUAAAAACUGUCAGAGCAUUAAAUACAGUGAUAACUCUGAAAUGGAAAAGGGUCUAGAAAAUGGGGGAGAUUAUGAAGGAAAUAUCAGCAGAACUUGGUGAAGUAUAGGGAGAAGGCAAGUGUGGAAUUCCAGAACACCUAACUGAUGCCAGGAUCCUCCUAUCGCCCUCAUCUGUCCUGCCUAGAAGUGUGUGUAGCAAGUAUAGAGAGUUCCAUUAAAAUCCCACUGACCCUGUCAGAUACCAGCAAUAUCAUUCCCAGUAAUCCGAUUAAACUGAAAAACAAGUAUAAGUGAGGGUGUGAAGCAACUCAUGCAUUAUUGGUGGGAAUGUAAAAUGGUACAACCAUUAUGGGAAAAAGAUCUGACAGUUUCUUAGGAAGUUAAAUAUAUACCUACUGUGUGACCCAGCAGUUGCACUUGUAGAUAAAACAUACAUCCACAAAGACUUUUUAAGAAUCUUUAUAGUAUCUUUAUUCAUAAUAGCCAAAACCUAGAAACAACCCAAAUGUUUCUUAACUAGAGGAGAGGUAAACAAAUUAUGGUGUAUUUGUAUAAUAGAAUAUUACUCAGCAGUAAAAAAUAAUGAGAGGCUCAUACACACAAUAAUGAGAAUAAAUAUCAAAAACAUUAUGGAUAAAAAAAUUGUAGUAUAUUCAUAUAUGAAAUAUUAGGAAUUAAAAAAAUCAGUUACAAAUGCAUGCAACAAGGAUAUAUCUCAAAAACAAGAAUCCAGGCACAGAAAAGUAGACCAAAAAAUAGCAUACUGUAUGAUUACAUUUAUAAGAAAUUGUUGAAAAGGCAACUAAUUCAUGCCAAUGGAAGACAGAAAAAUUGUUGCCUACUGGUUGGGCAAGGAUUAAAAGGAAGUGGACAGAAGACAACUUUCUAGGAUGACAGAAGUGUUCUACAUCUUGACUGGGGGGAUUGGUUACUUAGGUAUAUACUUUUGAAAGAAUUCAUCCAGUUGUAGUCUUAAGAUCUCUUGAGUAGUAUUGAAUAUAAAUUUGACCUCAAUAAAAAUAAGUUUUUGAGGCACCCGGGUGGCUCAGUCAGUUACGUGUCCAACUCUUGAUUUCAGCUCAGGUCAUGAUCUCACUGUUGAUGAGAUCGAGCCCCACAUCGGGAUCUGAACUGACAGUGUGGAGCCUAUUUGGGAUUCUCUCUCUCCCUCUCUUUCUCUAUGCCCUUCCCCUUCCUUGCCACCUCUCAAAAUAAAUAAAUAAAUAAACAUUAAAAAUAAGUUUUUAAUUAACAAUAAAAAAAAUCCCAUUGAUCUCUGCUUCAUUCCAAGGGCACAUGUACCUAUAUAUUGCUGGCUUAUUUCACUCUAGAAAAAUUUGUGAUGGAUACUCAGUCUUUCUGGUCUGGAAAGAAUGUGGCAGAAGGGCUGGCAGUUUGCCCAAGUUGAUGCAAAACUUGAGGCAGCUGGGCUUAGCAAAAGCUUUCACCCAACCUCUGAACAAUGCUUGUAACCACAAAUUGUAACAUCCCCACUGGAGCCUGUGUGUCAAUAGAAAUCUAAUUUAGAGUGGGCUCCCAGUCCUUCUAAGCCACAAGAGCCUGAUGAAUUGCUCAGCUGUUCUUUCAGGCUGUUCCAGUGUCAAUGGCAACCAGGGAGGAAGAAAACCCAGGUUUUCAGUGUUGCAAAAAUUCAGUCUAGUAUAAAGGGCCCUGAAAGAGGAGCCAAAGAACAAGACAACAGAAUAAUGAGACCCCAUGCUCCUAGAUCUGCUCCUCUUUUUUCCCCAUCACCAAUUUAGUCCCAAUUCUAGUUGGUUCCCACCCAAAGUGGAUUACUUCAACCAACAUGUUGUAUUUACUAUGACCCAGGUGCUAUGCCAUGUACUUAGAAUGCAGGUAAAAGAUCCCAGUCCUUUAGAAACUGUCUGGUGGUAUUACCUGCUAUCACAUCCAGCAUCUAAUUUGAUCCUUACAACCUCUCUGAAAGGUAAGUAAAGCAAGAAUAAUUACAACCCGUUUUGCAAAUGGGGAAAUUGAGGCUCAAGAGAAAUGAAAUCAUUUGCCCAAGGCUACAUGGCAAGUAGUAAAUUUAGGAUUUGAAUUCAGGUGUUCUUGUGCUCGGUCCCAUGUUCUUUCUAAUGCAUAUUAAAGAUGUAUGUAAAACAGGUAUGUGUCCUUUAUCUAGUCUAAAUUCAUUGAAGUCUUGAGUCUGAAGAAUAUUGGGACUCAUAAGCACAGAACUGAUGGGGAGAAAAGGAAUUGGGACCAGUCAGUGCUUAGCCCUCCAGGGGUAAUCCAAGAUAUUACUUGUGCACUGUCUGAAUAGACACAGAGGGAAUAGGCUUUGCUCAUCCACAUCCACAGUGAUGUGAUCUGAUGGAGGAAUCUGAUGAGGGAUGGUGAAUGGUUAACCAGCUAAGUAACUGGUGGGUUAACUAAUUUCAUUCAUUGUCCAUCAGUGUCAUUCAUUAGUCUCUGAUCUAUGGGUAAGAGGCACAAGAGGCCCAAUGAGGUAGGUGGAGCACCAAAUUCCCAAUCUAGUAGGAGGCAACUCAGAGCAGCUUUUCACAUCUCUGUCCAAGUUCUUGGUAGAAAGCCACAAAUUUGGACUCUAACUCCCUUUAACAAAAAUAAUCUAUUAAGAAUACAGGUGGAGACGCCUGGGUGGCUUAGUUGUUUGAACUUCCAACUCUUGAUUUCAGCUCAGGUCAUGAUCCCAGGGUUGUGGGAUCAAGCCCUAUGUCUGGCUGUGCUGAGUAAGGAAACUGCUUGGGAUUCUCUCUCUCUCUCUGCACUCCCCUUCAAAAUAAAUAAACAGUAAAGAAGAAAGAAUAUAGGUGGCUCACAAAUCUAUAGAAAACUUGAACAUCCAGCCCUCAGGACAAGAACUAGAGUGAUUCUGAGGAUUCAGGUAACAAGGACAAAGGGAAAAUCUCUUCCUAGUGCCAACUUCAACAGUUUUCUGUCCUUUCUUCUUUUCAAUCAAGAUUCAUUAUCCAAGGGGAGACAGCCUGAUUGGCUUAAUAUGGGCCAUCUGCCGUUACUUUGGCAGUCCCCAGAAAAUUGCACAACAGUCUCCAGAAAAUUGUAUGCACUAUGUGAAGACUUGGUUCCUCAAAGGAAAAUCAGAAUCCCAUUAAUUCUGUUUCCAGAAGAAGCAAUGCUGAGGAGGCAAAAAACUUGGAUGUCCACUAUAGGAUUCAUAGGAAACUGAAAGGCUAGGAAGGGAAAGCAGUAAGGAGACCGGGUCAGAGAAUUAAACAGCAAGAAAAAGUGAGAGCUCCUUGUAGCCCAGAACUUACCACCAUGCACCAACCCCAGGUAAAGAGCAGUAGUGAGUCUUAAGCUAAGGCUCAUGAGAUCUUUAUUGCCUUACUCAGAACAGGCUCAGGAAUUGGAAGAAUUUGAGACUGCAGAUAGAAUAAUAACAUUACAUGUAACAUCUUGAAGAAGCUAAAAAAAAAAAAAAAAUCAGGGGCUAGCUGGAAGGAAGGAAGGAAGUAUUAAGCUCACUGUAUUUUGUGGAUAGUAAACAAUAAGAAUCAAAUUACUUGGAUUUAAAUGAUUUAAAUGAUGAAAAUGCAUUACAGAUAUAGGAAACAAAAACAGCGGAAGAUGUCUUAGCAUUAGAUACACUUCAUCAGAGAAAAACAGUCCAUUGGUUUGAAGUUUGUGCCAUUUUGCACCAUUCAGAAUGCUUAGGUUGUAAGCCAUAGUAAAGCUUUACUUACUCUGGCUUAAACAAAGGAAGAAAGUUAGUUUGUUCAAAACAAGAUACACAGAGCUAGGGCAAAUUCUAGUAACAGUAAAAUUACUAAUUCAAUGAUACCAUUACAGCUUAGACCCAGUUUGAGUAGUUCUCAAAACUAUUGGUCUCAGGACACUGUUGAUGUGGGUUAUAUCUAUCAACAUUUGUUGCAGUAAGAACUAAAACUGAGAAAUACUCAAUGUUGUUUUGGUUUCAAGUAUAUGGAAAAAAAUCGGUCUUAUACAGAUAACGUAGUUAGAAAAGAAAGGAGCAUUUUAAUAGUCUUUUCAGAUAUUGUAGAUAUUCUUCUUUGAUACUAUACUCAAACCCAAGAUUAGUUUCCUGAAGAUUGGUUGUAAUGUGGAUCUGAAACCCUCUCAGUGAAGUUUUUAUGUUCUGUUACAUCCAUUGAUCUAUCUUGCAUGGAUCUUUAACUCUUGCAUAAUCUUGUAAAGUCAAGCAUUGGUCAUUUGGAAAAUAUUAGUUCAAUGAGUUAUGCAGAUCUUUUAAAUAUGACACAUUUCAUUAUACAAUAUCACAGUAAUCUAAUUAAUUAAUAUCACCACUGAUCUUAUCAGAAAAGUCUUUAGGGGCGCCUGGGUGGCUCAGUCGGUUGAGCAUCCGACUUCAGCUCAGGUCAUGAUCUCGCAGUUUGUGGGUUCGAGCCCCGUGUUGGGCUCUGUGCCGACAGCUCAGAGCCUGGAGCCUGCUUCGGAUUCUGUGUCUCCUUCUCUCUCUGCCCCUCCCCCACUUGUGCUCUGUCUCUCUCUGUGUCUCAAAAAUAAAUAAAUGUAAAAAAAUUUUUUUAAUAAAAAAAAGAAAAGUCUUUAAAUAUUGGGAAGCUAUCAGUAAAUAUAGGAAAGCUAUCAAGCUCACAGAGACAAAUACAAAUUUUCCAAAAUUCUAAUUUUGCUCAAAAGCUUGCCCUUUAUCACUGGUAACAAAUACUGUCCAUUGUUUUCUCUGAAGUGACUCACUUUGUCCAAAUUUGAGAUAAUGUCUACCAAAUACUCAAAUUUAAGUAACCAUAGUUGGUCAGUCCUUCUGUCAAGUAAAAAAAGAGCUAAACCGCAACCCCACAAUCACAUGUCUGCUUUCCCUCAAGAAAAUUAUCAUAUUUUUCAAUAGGCAGAGAAGAAAUUUAUGAAAACUUGCCAUUUUUAAAAGUACAGAUAUCAAAAAUGCAUAUUGAAGGGUCAAAAUUUAAUGAAUUUAAUUUUUUUCUUCAUCAUCAAAGACAUUAAGUAAAACUAGUUGGGGUGUUUUUUUCUGCAAGUGCAUGGUGCAGUGCAAGAAUACAAUGAUACUACUACAGUGUGUAUGAUAUGUGCCAAUGACUCGAUUCAUGCUGAUGCACCGACAGUGCUUUUGCAUCAUGAGUGCAAAUGUCAGCUACAGAGGAAAGGGCAAAUAAUAUCUUAGUAUUAUUAUGAAGAUAGUUUUGAUCCCAUAAAACUCCUGAAAGGGCCUGGGGAACCAUACUGUGAGGACAGCAGACUUAGGCUUAGCAAGGUCUGGAGUACAGGGUGGGAUCACUUUACCCUGAAUCAUAUAGGAGAGAAGUAGGUACUAAACAAAACUAGGAUUCUGUUAGGAAGAAAGAGGGAAUAAUGGAUACAGGUAGACAAUCAGCAGUGUCUACUGUGCAUGGGCACAAUACAUGGAAAGUGUAGCACAGUUAAUAUGGUUAGCUGCUGUGGAAUUAAACCAACAGUUAUAAGCACCUUCCUAAGUAUUGUCAAGAUAACUGGGUAUAUACCUGCAAAGUAUGAAGUUGGACCUCCACCUCAGACCGUAUACAAAAAUUAACUCAAAAUUGGUCAAAGACCUACAUGUAAGAACUAAAACUAUAAAGCUCUGAAAAGAAAACCAAAGGGUAACUUUUCAUGACCUUGGGUUUGGCAGUGUUUUCUUAGAUAUGACACCAAAAACACAAUGAAAGAAAAAAAACAGAUGAGUUGAAUUUCAUCAAAAAUAAAACUUCUGUAAAUCAAAGAAUUAAGUAAGUGAAAGGACAAUCCACAGAAUGGGAGAAAUAUAUGCAAAUCAUACAUCUGAUAAGGACCUACUAUCCAGAAUAUAUAAAGAACUCUUAAAACUCAACAACAGAAAAACAAUCCAAUGAAAAAAAUGGGCAAAAGAUUUUAAUAGAUAGGUAUACAAAUGGCCAACAAGCACAUGGAACGAUAAUCAGCAUCACUAGUCAUUGGGAAAAUACAAACCCAAACCACAGGGGGAUAUUACUUCACACCCACUAGGAUGGCUAUAAUAAAGGAAUAAAGAAAUAACAAGUGUUAGUGAGGAUGCAGAGAAAUUGGAACCCUUACUCGUUGCUAGUAGGAAUGUGAAAUGGUUCAGCUGCUCCUCAUAAAGGUAAACAUAGAAUUGUCACAUGACUCAGAAAUUCCUCCCCUAGGUACAUACCCAAAAAAAUUGAAAACAGGUGUUCAAACAAAAACUUGUACACAAACAUUCAUAACAGCACUACUCACAGUUGCCAAAAGUUGAAAACAAUUCAAAUGUCCGUCAACGGACGCAUUGAUAAGCAAAAUGUGGUAUAUGGAUAUAGUGGAAUAUUAUUCAGCCAUAAAAAGGAAUGAAGUGCUCACACACACGCACAUAUAUGUAUGUUCAUAUAUACGACAUAGAUGAACCUUGAAAACGUUAUGCUAAGUGAAAAAGCCAAACACAAAAGGACACAUAUUGUAUGAUCCCAUUUAUAUGAAAAUUUAGAAUAGGCAAAUCCAUAGAGCCAGAAAGCAGGUUACUGGUUGCCAGGGGUUGGGGGAGGGGGAAAUGAAGAAUAACUGCAUAAUGAGUACAGGGUUUCCUUGGGGGAUCAUGAAAAUAUUCUGGAACUUGAUAGGGGUGAUGGUUGCACAACAUUGUGAGUGUACUAAAAGCUACUAAAUUGUACACUUAAAAAUGGCUACAAUGGUGAAUUUAUAUUAUGUGAGUUUUUACCACCACUUAAAGAAAGCAAAACCAAAACCAAAACCAAAAGACCCUUCCUAAGGUUGCACAAUAGCAAAUAAGUGGCAGAGAUGGUAAGGCAAGUGAAUUAGCACAGUGCUAGAAGUCUAAGUCCUCCAGCUACUGCAGAGCAACCAGCACAUAAUCCGCUAGGUUCAAAUCACACGCGGCAGGCAAUACCCGAUAGAGAGACAAAGAUUCUACCAGACUCACCUGAUGAGGCUGUGAGUGUGAGGCCAACAUAGCUGUCUCAGUGGCAAUACAUAAACGCAUCGAUUGAAUAUACCACCCUGGAAAAGGAGAGCUGGCUAUGGAUGUCACAGUUAAAACAGACCUUGAGGGGCGCCUGUGUGCCUCAGUCAGGUUAAGUGUCUGACUUCGGCUCAGGUCAUGAUCUCACAGUCCUUGGGUUCGAGCCCUGCAUCGGGCUCUGUGCUGACAGCUCAGAGCCUGGAGCCUGCUUCGGAUUCUGUGUCUCCCUCUCUCUUUGCUCCUCCCCUGCUCACACGCUCUCUCUCUCUCAGAAAUAAAGAUUAAAAAAAAAAAAAAGUAAAAAAAAACAGACCUUGAAAAUAUUCUCAUUAAAUAUGUAAAACAUGUUUCAGAAAUUUCAGGAAAGUCAUGACAUGCUUAGGGAAACAUAGCUGGUUAAUGGAAGAACCAGGGAAACAUAGGUGGUUAGGCUUAGGGAAACAUAGCUGGUUAGUGGAAGAACCUGGUCCAAGAGAACCAAUGUGUCUUGCCUCUUUCUACCACAGGAUCUUCAGAGUUGGAGAAAUUCCAUAAACAUCUUCCAGAAUAGUUACAGUCUGAGUGUUUAAGCCAGGGACUAUAUUUCCCCUACACAUCCCCUGAAAUAUGUGCACAAAGAGAAACCUGCUAUCUACACUUCUAAAAUAGCUCCUACCUGUGUGCUCUAAGUCUUGGUUUGUGCCACACCCAAGUUAGAGAGCUGGCUUAUCUGGGACCGUCCCCCUACUUCACCCAGAAGCCAGUCACCAAACCUGCCAAUUUUCAUGUUGGAACAACGGAGAGGAUCUGGACACUCUCCUGUUCUCAUCACGAUUCCCUAAUCUUUGGCUCGGACUGUUUCAUACACGUCUUAAAUGCUCAGUGUUACCUAUGGCUCUAUCUCACAUGGGCUCAAGAGGCACAUGAACUGUGGAUGGGAACUUAGAGAGUUCCAAUCUCUAUGUAUGACACUUCUGGUAGGUGGGAUUGGAUCUGGGUGGAGCAGUGUUCUCCUCCUUGGGCCUGGUUCCAGGUUAACAGUGACCAUGAAAAUAAGCUGUAAAUUAGUUUACAAGACUGACCUCAACAAUGCCAAUUGAGACAAAGUCUUGAUAAUUGAUUCCUUCAGAGGCACAGAGAAAGCGAUCUUGACUUAGUGGUACCAACACUGGAUUGUCAGGUUUCCUUAGCAACCUGCAGUCCUGCCCUUGGUGACAAAUUGGGAGCUCCAAUUUCCUUCUAGCUCUAAAAAUUCUCAUUCUAUGAAUAUCUGUGGCUUUAGAGAGCUUACUAAAGGGAGAGUGGUACAAAAGAAAGACUAUUAAACUUGACUAUUAAACAUGGGCUGUUGAAAUAGAAGCAGGGACACAGAUGGCUGGCCAGGAGGUAAUGUGAUGGAAGUCAGAGAAGCAACAGGCUAUGUUUCGUUCUCCCAUGGGCCAAGUAUGAUAUCAGGAGCAUCCAAUGGCAAUUCUAAAUUAACACAAGUUUAAGCUUGCUCCAGCCCACUCUGUUAACUAAGGCAGGGUAAUGAGUACAUAUUGUUGAAAGCUUUCUUUUUAAAAUGGCUAUACACUAUGAACUUCAGGAAUUCAGUUGUCACAUUUUAGAGAAAAUGUCAUUAUCCAGAACUAUUCUCUGCUAACACACGCUGAGCUAUUACUAUGUUGUACCAUUAGAAGCACCGGUUUUAAGUCCAGACGUUCAGACCCAAGGGCAGAGGUUCACGUUCGAUCUGAUCCUGCGGCAUCUGGAGGGACAAGGAGAGAAGUAGGAAAACUGUCAAAUGGGGCCUGAACUUCCCAGUUCAGGACCUGCAGUGAUACAGGUUAUCCGUCUUACGGGAACAAAGUACAUAAUAGAUUGCAAUCAGUGUUCUUGAGCAAGAUAAACUAAGGGUGGCUCUUCCCUUUUCUGUAAAAUAUGUGUGGUUUGGGACAGGGAAUCUGAAUAACAUCCACCAGUCCCUUGCCUGUGGUCCCUUUUGUUUACUGUUGCUGUUAGUUUCUCUUUUGAUGCAAAUAUCUCCAUGAAGAGUUUGGGAGAAACUUGUCCACAUAUAUCACAAAGAAGCCAAAAAGACAGUCAGGGAUGUCACCAGGAGCCCCAAGGGAAUGACACAGCAGGCCAGAACAUCUUCUUCCUCUGCUGGAGGCCAAGGCUUGCCUGCAGAAGCCUGGCUGCCCAUAGCAUUUUCCAGGCCCGCCAGGGAUCCAGGAAGAGCAAGUCCCCAAGUUCUGGACAAAAGAGGUAGCAGAGAGCUAACAAAAUUCCACCUUUGCUGCCAGUGAAAGCUAGGUCAGGGAGCAUACCUCAGGGUCAUUGCCCAAAUGGGUCUGCUAACCCCGGUCAAAGGUCAGCCUCCACCCAAGGGAAGGUGGAAUCUGUAAAGUAAACACAUUUGCAGGGGGCAGCCUCUGGUUGGCCUGGAAGGAAAAUAAAGGAGAAGAAUAAAGUCAACUCAUCCUUGCUGAGGAGCUAUGGCCAGUCACUCUGCCCCGGCAACAAACUUGACCAAUGACUGUCAGCCACCACCCAAGGUCUUACCCACCUAAGACCGCAGAGGAAGCAAUGUGGUAAGAGGGCAGCUGUAUGGAGGGAAAUCCUUCACAGCACCCCUAAGACAAAUGGAUAUUCAUGGAGGCUAGGAAACCUUAUUAAAUCUUGCCAGUUUAGAAAAUAGGAAUAUCUCAAAUAUUCAUCCCCUUCCUGCCGAGCUUUGGAUUCUAAAGGCUGUUUGUUCACUUGUAAGAUCCAUUUUGCCAAGGCCUUGAACCUGAAAGUCUGGCAGAGGGGGGUAGGGACAACAAGUGGCUUCCAUACCUGGGGCUCAGUGUGUGCUUGAGGACAGGGUGGCUGCCCCCUCCCCUGCUGCCAGUAUCUAUGGGAGCCUUGAGCUGCCUGCAUUCUAUUAAAUACCACUUGGAUGUGCCAGGGACACUGGUCAUCUGCCCAGAGCUCUGUUCCCCCUCCAGCUCCCUCUGAGAGAAGACCUGGCCUUGAACCUCUUCCCAGUUGGCUGGAGGCUCUUCCCCCUCAGUCUGGUUCCUGCUAGCUCUUUUCCUGCCUAGAUUUCACCUCCUCUCACAUUGCCCAGAUGCUUCUAGGAUACCCGCAAAUCCCUGAGAACUAUUGGCACUGCCCUUCCCUUGUUCCCUCCCUCCCUUCCUCCUCCCUUCUUGGAUCAAGUAUUGGCUUGAGAAUAGCUGGCACUCAAUCCAGAGAGGCAAAGAGAACUGGCAGGAAAUGGGCAACCUCCUCUCAGUGGGCAUUUGCCCAGCAUGGCACAGUGAGAUCAACGUAAGAACCUGCCAGGCCCCUGGUCCUAUGCCCCCCCUCUCCCUCCAUAUUCCUCAUCAUCCUCUCGUUUAUACUCUUACCCUCUUCUUUCUCUGGCUCUUUUUCAUUGUUCUGCCUUAUUGGCUAUGUUCCUUCUCUUCCUCUUUCUAUCUCUAGGUGUUAAUUUGGGUUUUUUUUUUUUCCAGCCUCCUCCCCAGCCCCCUUUCACUUCUUCCAGCUACUUAGCCUCUCCCACACAUAACUGUAAUCUGGUUGCCUGGAUUUGUACAAUAGCCUCCUAAAAAUCCCUCUGUGGAUGCAGCCUCCACCUCUAAUUCUUUCUCCACUUUAGACAGAGUGACUACUUUAUGUCACUCUCUGAUUCAAGACCCUGCAUUGACUUCCCAGUAGCCACAGAACUGAGUCCAAACUCCAAUAUGGCAGACAAUGUCCUUCAUAUGUGCCUUUCUUCCGUCUACUCAAGUGUUUAUUGGUUUAGCAAACAAAUUAGUUCAGCCAGUGAGUGCCUACCAUGAGCAGAUAUUGUACCGGGAGCUGAAGAUAAAAUAAAUACACAAAUAUUUUCAAAUAAAACCAUGUCUGGGAUUUGCUUCAAAAUAAUCCAAGGAGUAGGGGAGGAGAGUUGGUCAAAUGGAAGAGGCAUAGAGAAAACAAGACUGACCAUGAAUUGAUAGUCACUGAAGCAGGCUGAUGGAGAUGGGACUUCAUUCUGUUAUUCUCUCCGCCUCAGUGUAGGUUUGAAAAUGUUCUGUUAGAAAAAUGAUGGGUAAAGAGAACUGGCAAGUCCUUGGCUUCCCUUUUCUCAUGACUCUCCCUGUGCUCUAUGCUCAGAAUCCCUGAAGCAGCUUAUUAUCGCAUGAUUACAAUUUGUUGUAAUUGCUUGUUUAAUUGUCUGCCUUUUCUACUAGGCUACAAGCUCUGUGUGCACAGGAUGUGCAGUAGGCACUCAGGAAAUGUCCACUGAAUGAAUGAGUCUGAUCAACUCUGGAGGCAGUAGCAGAAGCACCGGCACAGCAGAGUCUGGUGGAGGACAGGUGAGGCAGAGGACGGGCUAAGUUGGCACGCUGGCUGGGCACCACAGUUAGGUAUUUGCACCCUGGUCUAGUAGCUUUGGGGCAGGAUCCACUUAGAGUCGUGUCCUAGACAUUUUCCGGACAGAAAACUUUUGAGCUCAUUUUGUAACGUCUGGAUUAAUGAUCUGGUAAUACUUUUUCUGGCUUUUCAAUAAAUUGUGAAGUGAGUCAAGAAUGACAUUUCUUGAAAGCUCCUUCUCAAUAAUACACCACCUGCCUCCUGCCAUACUUGAACGCAGAGCAGAUAAAUAUGAGUUGUAUGAAAUGACAUGAUUUAUUAUUCAAUAGAAGUGUCAAGUGCAGGACACUUCCACCCGGUGGACAUACAUAGCUGGUCAUCAGGCCUUUCCUGAACUGUCCCGGAAGUGGCCACUCCAGUCUUGCUGUCUCCUGUUAUUUUGUAAAUAGCAUCAAUCACCGCCUACAGUCAUGCGUAGUGUCCUGAUUGGUCGUCUGCCUCCCUGCCUUAGAGUGUAAGCAACCUAUAAACAAGGGCUCUGUCUACUGUUAACUGGGCACAAGGUAGGGGUUCAGUGAAUGCAUGAAUGAAGCUGGCAUUUAUUACCGAGCAGAGCCCCUCUGCAAUAACAGAAGCAAACGUUUUUUAUAUAGGUUUUUUUUUUUUUUUUUGGUCUCUGCAUCCAUGCAAGACUUUAUAAAAGCAUUCUUUCAGUAAAGCAUACAAAGGUAAUAAAACAUUUUAACAACAUGAAUGAAAUGAGCAAAAGAAAGACCUCUCUUAUCACAUGAUCUCUCUCUGCGAUGAAAAGAAGUUCUGAGUAACAUAGAGGGCUUCUGAUAUAAAAUGUUGACAGUGUAAUCUCCUUUUAUUUUUUUCCAGUGGAGUUCUUACAUAAGUACUGUCUAACCAAAGAACAGUCUCUAAUAUUUACAGAAACGAAACCAUAUUUACAACCCUUUGGGAUUUCUUCCAUGAUAGGAUUUUUAAUGACUACAUGUUUUGUUGUAUGGAUUUCCUUAUUAUUGUGCCUUUCAGUUAAUAGUAAUUUUCAUUAUUUUAAGUGCUGUUGCUAUUAAAAUGUUUGUAUUAAUAGUUACAUCUUUGUGCUAAAUAAUUACUUCUAUGGAAUCAAUUCCCUAUAAACAAAUUGUUAAAUUGAAGGAUAUAAAUAUUAUCAAAACUUAGGCUAGCUUUCCUUAUUUCCAAGUUCUUGAUCUAUAAAACUGAGUAGAUUCUUAACUCCUCCCUGGAACUAGAGUCCUGCUUUUUGUCCCUCCCAGUGGCUGGGAGAUUGGCUCUCGUGUAUCGGCCUCCCAGAUGUCUAUUUUAUAUCAGAGGCGUACCUCUCUGUCAUGGCUCCCUUUCCAGAUUUCCAGAUUCUCUGCCCCACUGUUCUGUCUUCUGAGGCACGCCAUUUUUCUGAACCAUAUUUGACAUUACCAGACCACUUGCACAGGGUCACCCUUGCCCUGGUGAGUGUCCGGAGGCAGGUGCUGCCUUCCCCUAAUGCCCUCUCUAUCUCGUGUGUAAACAUACACAAUAGUCUUAAGCCGUGACAACUGUUACAACGUCUUGGCUUUUAUGGCAUAUUUCUGGUCAUCUCUGAAACUUACACAUUCCUGCUUCCUUGCUCAUGUACUCCCAAAUGUAACUCUCGAUUAUAACUUUAUUCCUUUAAUAAAAUAUGAUCUUCUUUAUAAUGAUCAACUAUGUGGCAUGGGUUCUGGGAUGCCUCAUGGGAAAACCGCAUGACAAUUACUGACAGCCCAUUAAGAGUAAUGACUCUAAUUAUCUUAAUCAUAAAAGAAUGAUAUUUAACGUGUUUUAAAAUUUGUUUUAUUACAGUAAAAUACAUACAACACAAUGUUUACCAUUUUAACCAUUUUUAAGUGUAUGAUUCAGUGGCAUGUAAGUACACUCAUAAUGUUGUGUGACCAUCACCAUAAUCCAUUUCCAAAACUCUUGCAUCACCCUAAACAGAAAUUCUAUAACCGUUAAGCAAUAAUUUCGUAUUCCCCUCUCUCCCAGCCCUGGAAACUUGUAUUCUACUUUCUGUCUCUGUGAAUUUGUCUUUCCCCCACCCCCCCACCCCCCAUGAGAGAGAGAGAGAUCACGAGCAAGGGGCAGGGGCAGAGGGAGAGAGACAGACAGAGACAGAGAGAGAAUCUUAAGCAGGCUCCAUGCUCAGCAGGGAGCCCAAUGUGGGGCUCGAUCUCACAACUGUGAGCCAAAAUCAAGAGUCAGACCCUCAGCUGACUGAGUCAUCUAUGCACCCCCAAUUUUUCUAUUCUUGAUAUCUCACAUAAGUGGAACCAUACAGUGUUUGUCUUUUUGUGUCUGACUUAUUUCACUUAGCAUCAUGUUUCCAAGGUUUAUCCAUGUGUCAGAAUCUCAUUCCCUCUUUAUGGCUGAAUUAUAUGACAUGUUCAACUCAGGACAUUAUUACUGCAGUUUUAAGCAAAAUCCACCAGGUGGCAGAGGAAAGGACUCAACAGAAAACAUGCACAUUUCUAAUUUAAAUGAAUAAUGGCAAAUAGCUGAUUACUUCUGUUAAUAGAAAAGACCUGCAGACCUUUAACAUGAAAUUCACUCUGCGAGACAUAGAACUAAAUGGGUGAUUUAAAUCCGAUUUAAAUCUGAACGCCAAUCUUUGCCUGAGGAUAUUUGCUACUAGAAAAAAAAAUGGUGCUUAUUCUGAUUUGCCUUUGCACAAUUUCCUUCUUCUGGGAGAGAGACUUUGCAGUUCUCCCCUCUCACAGUUCACAGGAUGCACCAAGUGCACCAUCUCCCACCCCCACUGGGCUCACCGUGGCCACAGCCUCCCCACUCCCACCAGUGCCCAGCAGCUAUGGAGCUUCUCCAUGCUUUACCACUAGUAAGAGAUUUUUUUAAAACUCAAUUUAUUUAAGCUAAAAAACCUCAUAAAACAGUUCAUCCACUGCUCCCACACCCAACCUUCUCCCACCCCCUCUUGUGCAACCACCAAUCUGUUUUCCAUAGCUGUGAGCUUGAGAUAUAUAUAUUAUAUAUAUGUAUUUAUAAUAUAUAUGUUAUAUAUAUAUAUAUAUAUAUUAGAUUCUGCAUAUAAGAAAGGUCAUAUAUUAUUUGCCUUUCUCUGUCUAAUUUAUUUCACUUAGUGUAAUUCCCUCAAGAUUCAUCCAUAUUGUCACAAAUGGCAAGAUCUUAUUCUUUAUUAUAGCGGGGUAAUAGUCCAUUGUAUAUAUUUACUACAGCUUUAUCCAUUCUUCCAUCCACUGAUGGACAUUUAGGUUGUUUCCAUAUCUUGGCUUUUGUAAAUACUGCUGCAAUGAACAUGGGGAUGCACAUAUCUUUUCCAAUCAGUGUUUUUGUUUUCUUCAGGUACAUACCCAAAAGUGGAAUUGAUGGAUCGUAUGUUAGUUCUAUUUUUAAUUUUUUGAGGAAACUCCACGCUGUUUUCCAUAGUGUAUGCUUGCAGAACUUACAUUCAGAUCUUUAAUCCAUUUUGAGCUAACUUUUGUAUAUGGCAUAAGGUGGUGGUCAAUUUUCAUUCUUUUGCACAUGGCUGUCCAGUUUUCCCAAUACCAUUUAUUGAAGAGACUGUCAUUCCCCCAUUGUACAUUCUUGGCUGCUUUGUCAUAAAUUAAUUGACUAAAUGCAUGGAUUUAUUUCUGGGCUCUCUAGUCCUUUCCAUUGAUCUAUGUGUCUGUUUUUAUGCCCGUAUCACACUGCUUUAAUUACUAUAGCUUUUUAAUAUAGUUUGAAAUCAGGGAGCAUGAUGCCUUCAGCUUUGUUCUUCUUUCUCAUGAUUGCUUUGGCUAUUUGGACGUCUUUGAUGGUUUCCUGCAAACUUUAGGACUCUUCUAUUUCUAAAUUCCUUCCUAACAGAUCCUUAAAUACUACUCUUUUUACGGAAAAAGCAUUAAGGAAAUGCUUUACCUGCUGUGAAGGCAAAUUCAAAGUAACAGAAGUAAAUGACGUAAAGAGAAAAAGAAAAAAUAUUCCCUAUAAUUACAAAGAGGCCAGUAAGUAAGCAGAUUAGAUAUUUUGAGUUAUUCAUAGAAGUCAACAUGUUUUAUAUAUAGGAUCAAUCUCAUGAUUAUUUCAUUUGAGCAGUCCUUGAUUUGUUUUCCAUAAAUUUCCAGAGGGAUUCCCAAUUAGUCUGCACACUGAAUUAAGACAGUCCCUCUACAUUUCCCCUCUCUGACACAUACUUUGGGAUGGCAGUGAAGCAGGAACGACGCAAGAAAUUUUCAACAGUUGUCUAGCUUAUUUUUUGUUUGGAAGGAGGAAGAAGAUGAAUAAGAAAAUAAAACUCACAUUUGUGGAGCCAGAAUUCCUUUUAGCAGAUAGAUUGAUCAUAUGUUUAGAGGGUGGAAAAUGACUGUCCAUUAGUAAUUCUGCAGGUGCAUCAUGGCACAGGGACACUUGAGGUUUUGGUGUGAGGGAGUCAGUGACAUGGCAUGUGAAGUAUUCAGCUGGAAAAUGCAGAACAUCAGUCAGCUGCUCUCAGAAACGAACUCCACUGAUCAUACCAAAGCCCUGCUCUGACAUUAAAACCCUAUGGCCCGUUUUGUCUUAUUGAAAAACACAGUGCUUGGCAAUUUUUUCUAAGCUGACAAAUAUCAUCCUAUGGGAGCAGAAGGUGAGAGCUGUCCCAUAGUUUCAGAACCUCAUGUUAGUCUCGGUUGGACUUGUCUAGCGAGUCGACUCAUCCAUUUCCCAACGAGGCAGCAACCAGAUAUAUUGGCAUUAUUCAGGAUCACGCCCUGCCGUAAAUGCUUAUUCAGCCGCAUUUCCAAUAUUUUGGAACUGCUACUUUCAUUCCCAUUUCAAUACAUGUUUAUGACCUGAAUUUUUAACUCUGCCGCUUUUUUGAUCACAAAUCAGACUAAGCAUUUAUAUUAUGAAAAAAAAAAUGCUGGGCCAGCUGAAAAGUACACUCUAAUUACAAUAAUAAUGUAACAGCAAAAGAGACUUUAUCUGAUAAUUAAAGAACUCUGGAGCAUCAUAUUAUAGCAAAUUUUAUGGGAUGCUGCAUUUUAUUGAUGAGUAAGAAAAACAGGGGUUGGAAUAGAUAUGUUUCCUCAAAAAGUUUUGACUCAAAAACAGGAAAAAUUCUCUUCCUAUUUCUUUCAAUUUCUUUCCUUUUCUUUUCCCCCUAUUGAAUUUCCUCCAAACUGAAAAAGUUCUUUUUAAAAAAAGCCAAUUUUCAACUUAGUUGUAAUUAGGUUUUAAUCAAUGCAACUGUUUUUAACAUUGUAUACUGUCUUUCUCUCCAGUUAAUUGGAUUAUCUUAUAAGCCAGUUAACAGCCUGCAGUCAACAUAUUCUGUCGGGCAAAAUAUUGGCUCCCAUUAAGUGUCACGGAGGUGUUAUUAUCUCUGGGGGAAAAAAAUGUAGAAACGGAGACACAAAGAAGUAGCAUGAAUGGCCCAGCUGAUGUGAAAAUGUCACAUUUCCUGAACUGAUUGGUGAGAAUAGUUGGCUACGCUUUGGGUCCAAUCCCCUGGUGGGCCAGAUAAUAAUAUACUAUCCCGGUCACAGAUUCUGGUGAGCCAAACGUCUGACCUGUGUAAGCCACAUGCCAAAAUAUAGAUCAGGCACAAGAAGAAUCUGUGUAUACACCUGUCCUCACGGGCAGAAAGACCGCCGGAAGCACAAGCCCUGCUGAGACGGACGAGUAGUGAAAUUAAACACUAAGGUUGACGCAUACACACACAUACACCUUGCAAAUGUGAACUAUGCCAGGUAUGCUGAAGUAUCCUGAUGACUGUGUUGGAGGAACCCACAUGUCACGCUGCAUUUGUCCCAAAUGACACAUCACUUGUUUAUUAAAGACAUCCUUCUCUUAUUUGUCCUUUAAAUUCCAGGCCACUAAAGAUAGCUCGCUUUAAGGUUAACCAAUUCAUGUUCUUUGUUGACUUUCUGAAAUUAUAAGAAAAAAAAAAAAAGUUAAAAUGUCAGCUAAAUAAAGUGAACACUUGGGUAUUUGGGUACUCCAAACCUACUUUGGAAAUAAGAAGGCUAUGAAAUAUAAAUUUCUCAUACAUCAGAUGUAGCAAAGUUACCAGCGUAUUUUAAGAAUCCAAGUUGUGGGGCGCCUGGGUGGCUCAGUCGGUUAAGCGUCCGACUUCGGCUCAGGUCAUGAUCUCGCGGUUUGUGGGUUCGAGCCCCGCGUCGGGCUCUGUGCUGACAGCUCAGAGCCUGGAGCCUGUUUCGGAUUCUGUGUCUCCCUCUCUCUGACCCUCCCCCGUUCAUGCUCUGUCUCUCUCUGUCUCAAAAAUAAAUAAACGUUAAAAAAAAAAAAAAGAAUCCAAGUUGUUAUCAUAAAAGACAGCUGUCUACUCCAAAUCCCUUGUUUUUUCAGAUUAAGAAACAAGAGCCAGACGUGAUAAGAGAUAUCCCUGUGGCACCCAAAAGAGCAGCAACAGAGAGAAGCUUGCUGCCCAUGUUAACCACUGUUUAAGUCUGAUGCAGGGCAUCAGCAGUUCACAGGCACAGAAAUUCUCCACGCUGGAAUGCAUUCCUGAGGCAGUGUGGUGUGGGGGAAAGAAGGCAGGGUUUAGAAUCAGCUUUCCAUUCCCAGUUCUGGCUCUUUUACUUACUAGCUCCCCACCCUGUAGCUGUGGGACAGUGACAAAAGUAACCUCUUGGAGCCUCAGUUUUUUCAUCAAAAAAUUGGGGAUAAUCAGACCUAACUGUGAAGGUCUGAUGUGAGGAUUAGAGACACACAGUAAGUGGCCAAAUUAUAGCUGUUAUCAUCGAUAAGAGGCUUGACAUAAUCGUGAAUUCAGUUUUUUAUUUAUUUUUUAGUGUUUAGUUUCCAUGCAAGUUAGUUAGCAUACAAUGCAAUAAUGAUUUCAGGAGUAGAUUCCAGUGAUUCAUCCCCUACAUACAACACCCAGUGCUCAUCCCAACAAGUGUCUUCCUUAAUGCCUCUGACCCAUUUAGCCCAUCCCCCCACCCACAACCCCUCCAGCAACCCUCAGUUUGUUCUCUGUAUUUAAGAGUCUCUUAUGUUUUGUCCCUCUCCCUGUUUUUACAUUAUUUUUGCUUCCCUUCCCUUAUGAUCAUCUGUUUUGUAUCUUAAAUUCCAUAUAUGAGGGAAGUCAUAUGAUAUGUGUCUUUCUCUGACUAAUUUCGCUUAGCACAAUACCCUCUAAUUCCCUCCACGUUGUAGCAGAUGGCAAGAUUUCAUUCUUUUUGAUUGCCAAGUAAUACUCCACUGUAUAUAUAUAUACCACAUCUUUAUCCAUUCAUCUGUCAAUGGACAUUUGGGCUCUUUCCAUACUUUGGCUAUUGUUGAUAGUGCUGCUAUAAACAUGGGGGUACAUGUGUCCCUUCGAAAGAGCACACCUGUAUCCCUUGGAUAAAUACCUAGCAGUGCAGUUUCUGGGUAGUAGGGUAGUUCUAUUUUUAAUUUUUUGAGGAAUCUCCAUACUGUUUUCCAGAGUGGCUGCACCAGUUUGCAUUCCCACCAGCAGUGCAAAAGAGACCCUCUUUCUCUGCAUCCUCGCCAACGUCUGUUGUUGCCUGAGUUGUUAAUGUUAGCCAUUCUGACAGGUGUAAAGUGGUAUCUCAUUGUGCUUUUGAUUUGUAUUUCCCUGAUGAUGAGAGCGAUGUUGAGCAUUUUUUCAUGUGUCGGUUGGCCAUCUGGAUGUCUUCUUUAUGAAUUCAGUUUUAUAUGGGAAGACAGUACUAGGGACCUAGCUUCAGUAGGGCAUGUCCUAUGACUAAUGGUUCCAAAAUAACAAGCUGAAGUGAUUAUCUGUCAUUCUCCACCUCUAUCCCCACAUGCCUGUCACAUUAUACUUUAAGAUAAAACAUUUAUUUUGAGAAUUUGACCCAGUCUCGGGGUUGGAUGCGUGAUCAUGAAAUGCUAUAAAGCUACAUGGCCUGCAUGGGGACUGAGUUAGAAGUCUGGAUUAUCAUUUGUAAGGUGUCCUAAGCAGGUGAGCCAACCAUACCUACAAAGAACAUGGAGGCCAGGGAAUUCUCCCAGUUUCCACACUCAACAAACACUGAAUGUAGAUCAUUGUCUCAUUUGUACCCAUGAGAUUUUAAUUUAUGGAAGUAAUGGAAUGACGAUAUGGCGAGGUCAAUGCCAUUGAAAAAAGAGUUUAUUACUUACAUUACCACAGAGAAGGGGGCCCGCCACACCACGCAGGGUCACGGGGGGGGGGGGUACCAGGUUGUAGUUAGGACACAGAAGCAGAAGCCAGGGGAAAGCCUAGGCCAGCGCCUUGAUCGGGGUUUGUGUGGGAAAGUCAAGGCUGGGCAGAGCAAACAUUUUAGAAUUAGCCAGUUUGAAUAAUUCAGGCCAGUUUGGGGCUAUAGGGAUGAUCUCUGAUUGACUGGUACCUGGCCCUGGGAUGACUUAGGUCGGGGUUAACACUGGUGUGCUGUCGGAGAGUCAGGGAGAGUGUUGAGGGGAUACACACGAGACUAUAUGUGCAUACAGAAGGCAUAGUUCUAGGCAGGUUGCCAUUAUCCUCAGGAAGUAGCUAGCACCGGGAGGGGCAGUCUCUCCCUGGGGCUGGAAGGCCUCCCAAAUAUUAAAACGCCAUAAGACACGGGAAACAAAAAACAUGAUGAACACAGUGACAUUAAUUUCAAACAAGUGUUUGCUUCUUCACACUAUUUUCUACCCAUCCCUCAAACACUUAGAGUUCUCCUAUAGUAUGCAGAAACUACAUUGUCAUCUUCUAUGUAAAUAGUGAGCACCCUUGGUUUCAAAUGUGUACCUGGGUGGGGCACCUGUGUGGCUCAGUUGGUUAAGCAUCCAGGUCUUGAUCUCAGGGUUAUGAGUUCAAGCCCUGCACUGGGCUCUGCACUGGGUGUGAAGCAUACCUUAAAAAAAAAAAAUGCAGCCGGAUGGAGUUUGGAGUGGUUUUAAUUCUGCCUUUCAUAAAUAGAGUUCUUUUAAAAGACCAUGAAGUUCAUGUUGAGUCAUCAAGUCAUAGACGUUCAAGGACUAGAGGGGUCUGGGAAGUCACUCAAACCCCCUCUUUCAUUUUAUUUCUGGGGAAUCAACCAUUAAACAUUCUCCGGAGUCUCAGUGGCUUAACUACUAUUAAAAUCAAACACAGAAUAUAAUUAAGCAUGUAAUUAGAAACAUUAAUAACCAUACUCAGCCAAAAAGUAGUUACAUUUCAGAGUGCAACUAAAUGCUUUUUUCUUGUCUUCUCUCCUCCAAAGUAAUGGUUCAAAGUGGAGACGUUAGAAAAAUGUCUCUGCAGAUCAGCAGAAGUCA
rnacentral:lncRNA from 1 species